rnacentral:lncRNA from 1 species
ACAGCCAAGAUGGGAAAGGUUCUCCAACGAAUUUGUUGUGGGAUAGAUCAACAAACACCAAAUCAUGUUGGCUAUGGAGGAAGUUUGGAAAUCCAGCUUUGAGUGGUUUUGGAGUACAGUUUGAAGCACUAAAAGCACGAAGCUGGAACUUUGGAACUAAAGGCUGAAAACUGGGUGCAGCAAUUAGCUCAUUGUUAUCGCAUGCAAUGAACUUGAGGUUGGUGAGGUUCAUAAAUGAACCAAAUGAUAUUGGAACUUGAAAGUGGUUAUUUGAAACUUCGAGGUAUUUGAGCUGCGUAAGAUGGGAAAGGUGACUAAGGGCAAUAUUGCCCUCCAAUUGGUUGUCAGAUAAAUCCAAGAUUUGUAAAGAUGAUAGAUUUCCAAAACAAGGAGGGAGUACGCCUUUUAGAUUGUUUCCUGAGCGAAUGUUUGAGAGAAAUAGUUGUUCAAGAUUCUUCAAUUCACACCAGCCUGUAAAAUAUAUCAAUUAUGUAAUAUAUCAAUAAUAUCUCGAAUUGAAGAAAGUCCAUGUGAAAGAGAAAGAAGAAAAGGUACGAUGAAAAGAGUGGUGGUACACAAUAUCCAUUCCUUUCAAUAUUAACUUAAAUUAGUAUCUUUAAGAUUGCAUUUUUUGUCAAGAAGGAUAGAGUGGAAGUAUCCAUUUUGUGUAUUGUAAUAUAAUCAUCUGUUAAGCAGAAGUAAAACAGAGGAAUGAUUAUGUUAUUUCUUGCGUGCGGAAUCCUCCUACCAUUAUAUAUAUACUUCCCCGCAUGCAUUACACGAUUUAUUAUAUUGUUAACUAACUUUAACCGUCUCUUAACAACUUCUAACACGUGUCCAUGCAUCUGUCAGCUAUCUUAAAUUUAAGACUGAGAAAUUUUAGAGAUUGAGAAACUCUAGAUUUUAUCCUUUUCUAUACGUAACAUUAGGAGUAAAUUUCUAGUUUAAUAAAACACAGAUAUAGCACAAAUAUCUAAUGAACAACUGUUAUUUGGAUUUCAAUACUCUUAUAAUUGUUCAUUUGUAGAAUUACCUUCAGCAGGUAGGGUGCCAUGGAAGUCAACUCCUCUCAAGGAUAGGACUUUAAGAGUAGACAAGAGUCCAAUGUUCCUAAGAAAGCUUGCUGGGAGAGAAGAAUAAUCGAGGACCACUUCUUCAAGGCUAGACGAAUUACACAACCCUGUGGCACAGAUCAUAUAAAUCCAUUAAUGAUAGUGAUAUAUAUAUAUAUAUAUAUAUCAUAUUGUUUUAGGCACCAAAUUAAACUGUUACUGACCUUUCCCAAAGUGUUUAAAAUUAAUAUCAUCGGCAUAUAAGGUCUUGAGGGAAGGCAACGCUCCCAAUGACUCUAUUAAAAUGUUUUCCUUGUAGUCAGUUGAAUCCAUAUACAAGAUUUCUAAAUUCCUUAAACCUGUGAUAGAGAGAACCAUUAAUAAUAAUUAAUUAAUAAUUUAUAAACGUUACAAGACAUAGCUUAAGUUUUAAAUUAAAAUAAUUUUUAAUAUAAUAUUAAAAUUUUAUUAAUUCAAUAUUCACCUUCAUUUAUUUUUUUAAAAUUAAAAAAUUGAACAAAAGUUAAUAGUACUGUGUGUAUGUAAGUUUCAAAUUAUUUCACUAAAGAAAAUGCAUUAAAGAAUUAAUUAUAUAAAGCCUUUUUAAGGUUUCAUCCAAACAACUUAAGGGUUAAUACACAUCUAAUUAUUGAACCUCACUAGAAAAUGCUAUCAGAGGUAAGAAUGAUUUACAACUUUACCAUUGAGACUAGUUGAUCCUGUGAAUCUAUUGUUUGAUAGAUAUAGAGAUUUAAGAGAUGAAAAACCACUUAGAGAUGAUAAAAUGUUGUCGUUAAAUUUAUUGCAUCUCAGAUCAAGUUCCUUCAAAUUCCUUAACCCUGAAGCUAAGACUUGAAAACCUGAAAGAAAAUUGUCGAAGCAAAGAAAUUAGCAUAUAUAUCAACCAUCCUAAUAUCCGUAAAGAUUCAAUGUAAAGUUACUUGAAAUAUAAUUAACUUUAUGUGUUAACUAAAAGAAAAUUGAAAGCAUAGAACCUUGGUUCUUUAAGCCACCAACUAAUUUGUUGACGCUUAAGUCGAGAAUCUCCAGUUCUUUGAAAGGCAGAAACAAAGACGCAUUGAGAUCCAAGUCGACUUCGACUACAUUGAGAUAAUCAUAAUUUACAUCUGAAAGAUAUAGUUCGAUCACUCGGUUUGUGGUGGUGUCACACACAACCCUAAGCCAGUUACAGCAAUUAAAAUGCUCUUUAUCCCAACCUUCUAGAUCAUAGGACACAGCUGCACGUGCAUGAUUGACCCAAGCUUUUAUCUGUAAGAGACUAAUUCUCUCUUCGUCCAAACAACAAUGGCUCCGGUCGUUGAAGAAGGCCAGUGCCAUGAGCAGCAUCCACACCCACAUUUGCCUCAUCUUCAUAACGCUCCACUUGACCACAUACAAAAGCAAGCAAGCUGUCUCUUAUAUACUAUUUAAUUUGUCCUCUUCAUGCAUUAAUUUGAUCGGACAGUGACAAUUAUCUGUAUCAUUGAAUUUUCUAUGCCGAAUUAAUUAUCCAAGGGAGACUUGGGCUGCAUCUGCCAGCUACCAUAAUUAAUCUGCACUAACAGUGACCAUAACAGCUGUAACAAUACUCCCUCAGUACUUGUAACAUCAUCCUAAUAUAUAUUGAAUUAUUUGAUGAAAACAUUAUCUAAAACAUGAUUAAUUGACAUAUUUAAAGUCAAAUAAAAAACAAACCCAACUUAUUUUUAAUAUUAAAAAUUAUUUUCCAAUAUAAAUUUUUUAAUAUAAAAAUUUAAUAAAAUUAAAAUAAAUUAUGAUUACUGUUUGAGAAAUUGAUUUGAUCUUGGGCCCCAUAAUUAUUUUCACUAGUCUGUUAAAGUUCUUUUUCAAGCUUAUGGAAUGAGGUGCUCCUUCAAGUUAUUGUGUAAGCUACUUUGUUUUUUUUUCUUUGUAGACUCGGGAAGUCAUUUGUUUGAACAUUUGAUUUUCUAAAAAGUUUUUAUAUCUAUUUGUUUCUGGAUUAUAAAAAUAUUUUUAAAAAAAAUUAAAUUUUUUAUUAUUUUUUUAUUAUUUUUAAAUUAAUAUAUUUUUAAUAUUUUUAAAUUAUUUUUAUGUGUUGAUGUCAAAAAUAAUUUUUAAAAAUAUAAAAAAUAUUAUUAAUAUAUAUUUUAGUACAAAAUAUUUUUUAAAAAAGAAUCUCAACCAGACGGUUAAUCUCAUCAUCCACUAGCGCAUGUUUUUAUUCUUCCGGAGACCUGUGAAGUCAAGAUUCUCAAUUAUCCACUGCAUCAAUCUCUAUCCCAUCAAAAUGAAUUUGGUGUAAGAAAAAAAUAUCUGAUAUAUGUGAUUUACUCCUGGUUUGACCCCUCCCUCCCUCCAUAAAGUUAUCAUUUAACUCCACUUUCGAGAUAAAAUCUUAAACUUCUUUAGAUUUUUUCCUACCCUUGAAAUUGUUAUGAACAUAAGUAAAAGAGAUGAAAACUCCUUUACCCACGUAUCGAGCAUACCCUAGUUACAUAACACUAGUUAAAUCUUGACAUAACAUUUCAAGUUAAUUAAUGGCUAGGAUUUUGUUUAGUGGAUUUUUUUUUGAAAUUAAAUAUCAUAUCAAUAAAUAAAUAGCAACUAAAAAUAUAACUACUAAAAUAGAUAUUUUAUUUUGUUAAUUUUAUUUGAAAAAGCUUUUGAACAUAAGGACUCCAUAUAUAUAUAUAUAUAUAUAUUUUUAUGCUUAUUAUAUUGGAUAUGUUUAAUGCCCCGGUAAUAACCAGGAUAGGAGGCCGACUUAAUUAGAGUUGAUAGGGCACAAAUAUAUAUAUAAUGUGCUCCGAUUAAUACAAAAAUAAUUAUAAUAAUAAUUAAGGUUUGUUUUUUUAUUCAGUUUGUUGUUAUCUAUUUUUAGGUUCUCUCACACAAAACAAAUUUGAAAGAAAACAAAAAAUAUGAACAAUUGAUUUGAUCUUAUGAAAUACAUGGCAGAAGAGAUUAGAAAAUGAUUUCCAUUUGUCAGAAAUACACCCCAAUAGUCUUAAUUUGAAUUGCACUUUGCACUCCUUUUCCAGCGAUCAAUAGCUAGGAAACCUGUCAGUGAAAUCUUUAUUAUUUGCUCCGGGUUGCUGCUGCUGGUUACUCUGUCACGGAUUAUUAUUUUUCAGUAGUCAGUUAUCCUAGUGCUUGCUUGGACAUGCUCAACAAUGGAGUUUCUCUAAAUGUAAUUCCCACAGUGAAAUCUUCUGUCAAAGUCAUUCCAAGCCGGAAAAGAUCAGGAAAAUGAAGUCUUGAAACAUCAAGCGAAUAGAGCCCAGCAGGAAAAAUUCGUUUCUGACGGUGAGAUUUGUAAUGUGAUCCUAGCUAGUAAACCCAAGGUUGUCAAUUCGGUUCCGUUUCGUCCGGAAUGACCGAAACAUUCAUACCAAUUUAAAAAACGGAAUAAAAUGGAAUAAAUUUCAUCUCAUUUUAAAUCUCGAUCUGUUCCGGAUUUUUCAGCUAAAUUCCGCCCGGAAUGUUCUGGUUUCAUUUUACAUGUUCCGUUCCGCUCUUGAAAAGCCAUUGAAUCAAAUUGAACCUUGUUCAAUUUAAUUAAUUAAACCAUCCAAUUAUAAAAAGCUCAUUUUCAUUACUAUUCUCAAUAAUGACACGAUCAAAAGAUUGAUGUCUCUCCCAAGUGCAGGAGUGUUGAAGUAAUAAAUAACCCGGUAAGACCGGGGUCAAACCACAAAGAGGUUAAUUGUAUAAAUUAUAAAUAACAAUAGAACAACAACAAAAACAAUAAUAACAACAAUAACAACAACAAUAAUAACAAUAAUAGUAAUAAUAAUAAUAAUACUCAGUACGUGGCGUUGUUAUACCUGAGAAUGAUCUAAAAGAUCGGGUCACAAGUUUCCAGCCUAUAUACUGAUCGAGUUUAUAAAAAGAUCAAAGAGAUAUAUUAUAUAAUAUAAACAGAAUGUAAAUAAUAAUAAUAAUAAUAAUAAUAAUAAUAAUAGUAGUAGUAGUAGUAGUAGUAGUAGUAGUAGUAGUAGUAGUAAUAGUAAAAAGAAAAGGAAGAAGAAAUUAAUGAGAACUUUGAGAUGGAAGAAUAAUGUAAGGAUUAAACAAUGAUAAAAACAAAUGUCAAGGUUAGAGGAUCCACCAAUGGUAUUUCAAACAAGUAUAGUAUAAACUCUUAUUACUCAAUUUGGAAACCACACACGAGGAGGUUCCAAUCGGAUGAUUUGUCAUUAAUAGCUCAUUAUAAAUUAUUAACAUGAUCAUAUUAAUUAUCUUAUUUACAUAACACCAAACUUUUAAAUAUUCAGGAAUUCAUGAUGUUAACUGAUGUUAACAACAAAUCAAGUUCCUUUCAUAGCCAGGUGUAGGUAAUACCAUACGGUUGGGCUAUGAGAGUGCCAAGCAUUUGUUGUACCAAGUGUUAUACAACACAAAUCUAGAUUAACCAUUUAACAAGCAAGGUAUUAAGAAUUAGUAAGAUAAAAAGAUAAGACAUGUUAAUAUUAAACAUUAAGGUCCAUGUUGAGUUUACACUAUACUUAUUCUUACACCAUUAGUGUAACCUUUUCACCUUGACAUAAUAAACUUAGCUAAACAUAAUGAAGAAGAGAAACAUAAAUAAACAAAACAAGAACAUAAAGAAAAUACAAGUUAACUAAGUAAAGGAAAGGAAAUGAAAAGCAUAAACAAGAUAUUAAUGAAAGCAAAACUUAAAAAUUACAAAAAAAAUAUAAAGAGAGAAAUAAAGAGCAUGAACUUGAUCUGAACAACCAAGCCCCUAAAUACAUGGCAAAUGCCUCCUUUUAUAGGCCAAAAUUCAGAAUUAUUGAUUUGAUGACUAAUUGUUGAGUGGGUGGCCAACUUUUGACUUUGUGAAAAUCCUUAUCUUCUUGUCUGAAUAAAACAAAAUGCUAGCAUCAGAACUGGGUCCACUUGAAAACAUGAAAGUUGUAGGAAAUUGACUCAGCUUUCCAGGAAAAAAAAUGGAGGUCAUUUGGACUUCUAGAACUCCAGAUAUGGGCCAAACACUAAACAAUGUUCGGGCUGCAGGACAGAUUCAGACUUCUCCGUUGUUGCUAUAAUUUGGACUUGCAAACGGCCUUCUUAGAUCUUGAUGAAAACAUGAAAGUUGUAGGCAUAUGUCUUAGUGAAUUUGUGUAAAAAUUUGAGAUCAUUUUGACAUCUAGAACACGAGAUAUGACCCAAUUACCAAACAGUGUUCCAGUUUGGACUGCACCAACAUCUCUUUUCUAAGCUUCACCCUCUUUUUGUCCUUUCAAUUUCCAUACUUGAACUCAUCAAUCAAUCCAUUGAUUUAUAUGAUAGGCCUGCAUUUAAGAUGAACAUUUACCAUAUAUUAAGGCAUUUUAAAGUAUUAGACUUGUUAUUAUAAAACAUUCUUUAGUUAAGGAGUUAUUAAUACUUUAAGUGCAAAAUGAUGAUAUAAAACCUUGAUAAAUAUGCACUUUUAAGUACUAAUCAAGUAACAAUGAUAUUAAUAAUAAUAUUGAAAAUUAUUAUUACUAUUUUCAUUAACAAUGAUAUUAAUUUUUUAAAAUUAGAUUUAUCACUAAUAUAUACGAUUUAUAUUCAUGUUGUUUUUUUCAUGUUUAUACUUUGUAGGAAUUUUAGCAAAAUAAGAGAUUCUUUAGAUUCCAUUAGCCUUGAUAACAUUGACCUAAUUUUAUAUUUUAAAUAUUUUUGUUAAAACAUUUUACUUUCAUAAUAUUUUGAUAUUUUGUUCAAGUUGAAUUACUUUAAGUUAAAGAUUUAUUUAAUAUUGACUAUUUAGAAAUAUUUUAAAUUUUAAAAUUAUAUUUGUUUGGCAUUGUGUUUGUAUUGCUUAAUUUAUAAUUAAUUUAUCUUGAAUUCGAAUUAUGUUUGCUGAAUAUAUAUAUAUAUAUAUAUAUAUAUAUAUAUAUAUAUAUAUAUAUAUGAACAAUACAACCCCGAAACGACACACCGAAAUACUUCAAAACUAAAACAUUUUAUUUUAAUUGAAAAAAAAAAAUACCUACCGGAACGAAAUUGACAAUCUUUAGUAAACCUCAACCAAAGAUCAUAAUGCCAAAAUUGUAGUCAAAGAGACUUGGAACUCCCUGCUGAUGGGCUGUUUAUUCUGCCAAAAUUGCAUGGGCCGUUUUACAGCCUUCGUAAUGGGCUUGGCUACUUUGGGUAGUUAAAAAAACCCAAAUAGAUAAUGUUUUCUUUUCCUUUGGUAUCCGUUUAAUCAAUCUUCUGGUUUGAUCCUUGAUAGUGCUGUGUUUUGAUGCUUGUCGAUUAGCCACAAUAAUGUUAAAUUUACAAGGACAGAUCCAAGAAAAGCAAUGCAGGCCUGUAUUUACUUUCAUAUUAAUUAUUGUUUGAAUAUUCUUAAUCUGAAUGAUAUUAGUCCAUUCAAAACAAAUUCAUUUUCUUUUUUAUAAAUAUAUUUAUAUAACAAUGAAAGAAGAAAAUGCAUUGAUUAAAAUAUUAUUGAUGUGUUUGAAUGAAGAAAGUUAGGGCAGAGAUGACCAAUAUAAAGACCGUGUGGGCCAAUAAAAUGAAUACAAAAAACAAUAUCAAUGGCUUGCAAAAAAAAAAAGUUUUAUGUUAAAUUUAUCUAUAUGUUAAAUUACUUGAUUAACUAAACUUAAUCCUGUAAUAUUAAAUUAUUUGAUGAAAAUAUUAUCUAAAACAUGUUUAAUUGACAUAUUUAAAGUCAAAUAAAAAACAAACCAUGUUUACUGUUAAUAUUAAAAAUUAUUUUUCAACAUAAACUCUUUAACAUAAAAAUUUAAUACAAUUAAAAUAAAUUAUGAUUAUUGUUUGAGCAAUUGAUUUGAUCUUGGACCCUACAAUUAUUUUCGUUAGUCUGUUAAUGUUUUUCUUUAAGCUUGUGGAAUGGGGUGUUCUUCUAAUUUAUUGUGUAAGCUAUUUUGCUUUUUUUUUUUUCAUAGACUUGGGAAGUCAUUUGUUUAAGCAUUUGAUUCUCUGGCAAGUCUUUAAACGCAUUCAUAUUUGUAUUUGGUUAUAUAUUGAAAAAUAUAUAAAUUGUAGGCCCUAUUGUUUAUAUAAGGUAGUACUCGAUUAUGAAAAAGCAAUUAUUUUAUUGCUUUUUUGCAAGUUUAAUCAUUGGUUGAAUUUUUUUAUAUGGCCGGCAUAGUGAAUUCUUAAAAAAAAAAAAAAACAUGUUUAUUAAUUGGGAAUGGAAAUUAUUUUUUCAAUUAUUAAAUUUUUAAAAAAAAUUCAAGAGCACUAAAAUAGUUUUUUUUAAGAAACUUGUUUUUCUUCUUCCACUAGCACUUGUUUUUUUUUUCGUAGACCUGUGAAGUCAAAAUUCCCAAUUAUCCACUACAUUAAUCUCUAUCCCAUCAAAAUGAAUUUGGUCCAAGAAAAAAAAUAUCUAUAUAUGUGAUUUAGUCCUGGUUUUAUAAAUUAAUUAGAAAGUGUAAAUUAUCUGUAUCAUUGAAUAUAUACAAUUUUGUCCUCUUCAUGCAUUUGAUCGGACAGUGACAAUUAUCUGUAUCAUUGAAUUUGCUAUGUUGAAUUAAUUAUCCAAGGGAGACUUGGGCUGCAUUGAAUGGGAGAGUCUUCACGGACAGUGCUAACCAGGGGCCCGCACCACGGCACAGAUCGCUCGGUUUGUGGUGUUGGAUUAAAGGAUAUUAAUUCCAACUUCUUGUUUACUGCUUUGCUUUUCUUCAUAGACUUGGGAAGUCAGGUGCUGUUUAUGAACAAUUGAUUUGAUCUUAUGAAAUACAUGGCAGAAGAGAUUAGAAAAUGAUUAAUAUUAUCAAUAAUUUCUUCUUACUGCACCUACUGAUUUUUAUUUCUUGUGAAAUAUUUAGAAUAUCUCUUUUGAAAUAUCAAUAUCGCCUACCCCCACUUCCUUCAUUUUUGUUAACGGAGUGAAAUGAUUUCCGACGCAGCUACUAAUUUCAUCAGCCACUUUCACUUGUUUUUAUUCAUAGACUUGGGAAGUCAAGAUUCCCAUAAUCAAAAUGAAUUUGAUCGAAGAAAGGAAAAAAUGAAAAAAAAAAAAAAACAUUACCAGUGGCUUACAAAAAAUAAAUAAAUAAAACCAUCAAUUACGAGCUUCAUAAGAGAAUUUUAGCUAUUUUGUCUUAAACUCAACAGAAUAUUCUUUAGGAAGCGUUGGGAACGGUGCAAACCGCGUUCCCACCAAAUUUUAAAUUUUUUUUUGUUAAAAUUUAAUAUAGUUUGUAUUUUUUGGAUUGUUUUGAUGUGCUGAUAUUAAAAAUAAUUUUUAAAAAAUAAAAAAAUAUCAUUAACAUAUAUUUUAGUACAAAAAAUUAUUUUAAAAAUAACUAUUAACAUACUUACAAACAGGACAGUUAAUCUUCAACUAAUCAACCGAUGAUCAUAAAUGAUGCCAAAAUUGUAGUCAAAGAGACUUGGAACUCCCUGCUGAUGGGCUGUUUAUUCUGCUAAAAUUGCAUGGGCUGUUUUACAGCCUUCGUAAUGGGCUUGGCUACUUUGGGUGAUUAAAGAAACCUAAAUCGAUAAUGUUUUCUUUUCCUUUGGUAUCCGUUUAAUCAAUCUUCUGGUUUGAUCCUUGAAAGUGCUGUGUAUUGAUGCUUGUCGAUUAGCCACAUAAUGUUAAAUUUACAAGGACAGAUCCAAGAAAAGCAAUGAAGGCCUGUAUUGGUCUCUGAGAGUUCAAAAUAAGACCCCCUGAUAAAGGCUGCAAUCAUUGCUUGAACCCCUGUAAAGGGGCCUUGACACAUGCGGUCCACUGAAGAAGUACAGCACCGUUCUUUAUUUAAUUCUUAUGGUUUAAAUCUACUAAUGACUUAGUCAUUUUGCAUGCUAUUUUUCCACUUGUUUUCUAAAAUAGAGAAAAGAACUGUUAAGCAUGCUGGAUAUUUCGCAUAAUAAGCUCUCCGGUCCUUUAUCCGGAGAGCUUAAUUUAACUUUCAUGGCAAACGAUGCAAAAUGCUAUGUAUCUUUUACUUGGCCUAGUAUUCAAUAUUUUGAUCAGUCAAAUCUUGUACUCAUGGGUUUGCCUCAAGUAGGCGAUUCUUAUCGUGAAACUAAGUACACAAACAACAUUGCACAUUAAUCUGUCGAGUUCUCAACAAAAAGACAGUCUUACUCCUAUCGAGAUGAUCUUAUUACUUUCAUGUCUGGUAUUGAUUUUUCUUGCAACGGAUUCACUGGCAAAAUCCCACCAAAUUUAGAGAUUGUAAGUGAGCUACGAGCGGUAAAUCUAUCACACAUCAAUCUCAUUGGAUCCAUCCCCGCAACUCUUUAGAACCUGAAGCAGAUUGAGAGUUUGGAUCUUUCUCACAGCAAAUUGACCGGUAUCAUCCCUUCGCAGCUUAUUGAGGUGAGCACAUUGGAGGUUUUCAGUGUUGCAUACAAUAACUUGUCCGGUAAAACUCCAGAGAGGAAAGCUCAGUUCGGCACCUUUGAUGAAAGUAGUUAUUAAGGAAAUCCUCUUCUUUGUGGACCUCCAUUGUGAAUUUGCAGUGAAACAAACUCGUAAUUGCAGCCUGUACCUAAUAAUGAACAAGAAGAUAAUAAUGGUUUCAUAGACAUGGAUGCUUUCAUUGUGAGCUUUGAGGCAUGUUACAUAAUUGUCUCGUUGGCAAUUGCAGCAGCUCUUUACAUAAAUCCUUACUGGAGAAGAAGAUGGUUUUACUUCAUUGAAGAGUGCUUAAGCAAUCGCUACUGUUUUGUGUGCAGACGUAGGCACAUCUUCAGAUGGACAUAGGGGUUGAUGCUUGCCAUUUGUUCUCAGUUAUACUAAGAAAGAAUGAACCGCGACUCUGUCCACCAUUCUCUCCUGUGCAUGAACAAAUUAGUGAAGGAAUAUUUGCAGUGAUAUAUGUUAAUGGUUUCCUGACUUCAUUAGAAUAUUUUGCUCCCAUUUUCUUUGCUCCAUGAACUGAAUAUAUAUUGCAACAUAAUUGUGGUGUUGUCAAUCACAGCAAUUAUGCACAUAAAUCCUUACUGGCGCCGCAGGUGGUUUUACUUCAUUGAAGAAUCGCAACUAUUAUGCUGCUGUUUUCUAGUGGUUAGUUUCCGUAAGCUGUCCAACAUCAUGUCAUCGAACCUCUGUAUAAUCAUUCAAUUAGAUGACACAUUUAAAAAUUUUAAAAACUAAUAAUACUAUAACUAUGAAGAACACCUAAAAUAUUUAAUUUUAUUCUUCCAAGUCUCUGCUAAACUAAUGAUACACAAUUGUGGUACUAGCAAUUGCGGCAGUUUUGUACAUAAACCCAUAUUGGCGACAUAGGUGGUUUUACUUCAUUGAAGAGUGCAUGGAGACUUGCUACUACUUUGAAUUGCAUACAUUUCAUAAGCUAUCCUCCUUCACAAGGCCAUAGGGAUCUGACGCGUGCCUUUUGUUUUUUCAUAUUUUUUAGUUUGAACUAAUAAAACCUUUACUUUUUUUCAAGCUUCAGUUCAUUUUAUUGCAGUUUCUCAAAUGAAUUCUACAAAUUCAAGAUAUAUAUCCAUCCUUAAUGCCAUAUUAAAGAGAAUAUAUAGAGAGAAAAAGAGGAGCUUUACGUGAUAUGGAUAGCGUGAUGCUCCUAAGCCUAGAACCAGCUAAAACUUAAUAUUAUGAUGAAUAAUUCAGCAAAACUUAAUUCAAUUUCAACUUCCAAUCUCAUCAUUAGUACAAAAUGCACAGUCAGAUUGAAAGGAAAUUGAUUGGAACUUGAAAUUCGGGUAACAAUACUUCUAGCAGAGCUUCCUCCUUACCCUCUCCCUAUUGUAUCUUCUUCGAGUGGAACUCUAGCUUUUUGCCCUCCAAGAUAUAUGUUCUCAUCUUUCUCCAGUACUCUCUUUUCCAUCCAGCAUAAGCAAUCACAACUUACCUCAACGGAAAACUUUAUAGCCAACUUCAACCAAUAUUUAAAAGGAAUUUUGUCCUUUGUUUAAUAAGCAAAAUCAACAGAACCUGUCUUUGACUUUCUAGCUCAUAUAUAGCAGUAGCCAUUUUAAGGAGCAGAAACAAACACUGUAGAGAUUUAUCAUCACGAAAAUCUGGUUGAUUUAUUAUCACGAAAAUCGAAAAUCUAGUUGAUUUAUCAUUACGAAAAUCUAGUUAAAACAAAUUAAUAUGAAAUCAAAUCGAGGAUGAAAGGUUGAUUUUGAGAUCAAGAAUAGCAUAUAUUAAAAAGAUAAUAAAUAAAAUUAGAGUAAUAACAUUGAUACAACUUAUCAUUAAAUUUCAUUUGCAAUUUCCUCUCGAUUUUCUGUAGUUCUGUAGAGACAAAGAUUAGUUGGUCCUUACGGGAAUUUUUCUUCCUUAAUUUCACUCCCAUUUCCCAAACGAUGGAAUUCAUACAACCUUUCGAUUUUAUUUCCACGUAAAAUCCAUUCUUCUCUAUCAAACAGAACAUAAUAAUGGGCCAUAUUUUAAUUUAAAUAUCUUUUUCCUAAUAUUUAAAGCUUUUUUGCUGGGAAAAUAUCAUGGGGAUUUGAGAGAAAAGACAAUAGAUAAGAAAGCACAUGAAAAAAAGUGAGAGAAAAUGAUGGUGGGUCUUCAUUAUUCAAGGACCGUAUUGGAACUCUUUGGAGGCAUGCGUGAGAGGUGAAAUGGAAACGUAUAGGGACCAAAUUGUUAUUUCAAUGAAUAUAUAGGGCUUAAAAUGCAAUUUACCCUUAAUUUUUUCAUGGAUGACGCAGUCACAAGGAGAGGAUAUAUAUAUGUCAUUUCUGAAAUGAGAAGACAGGCAGUGGCAAUAAGUAAAAUUUCAUAAAUCAUCAUCAAUCAAAAAUCAUGACGUGGGGACAGAUUAGACGGUUGAUUGUGACUUUUUUUACCCUCUCUUUCUCCCGGUGGGGGGUUUUAGGACAGUAUCGCGCGAGAUGCGCGGGCGCUGUGCUCUUACAUUUCCAAGGUGUAUAGUGGGAUCCAUGUCUUUAUUAAACCAAUUAAACCCACUGGGAUUCUAGUUUUUUUUUUUAAAAAAAAAACAUUUCAUAAAAGUCCUCAAACUUCGAGUCUCAUCUCUAUCAUAGCAAUAUUAUAAUUUUUAUUCAUUUUUAGUUAACAAAAAGUUUAUGUAAUCAAUUGAAGUUUAUAUGGUUUUUUUUUAUAUAUAAAAAACCAAUGAAUUCUUUAAAAAUCUCAUUUUAAAUCGCUUGAAACUAAUUUCAUAAAGAAACACAAAGAUUUUACAUUUAUAUAAUUUGUUUAAUUACAUAAACAAAUUAUAUGAUAAGAUGAAGAGAUAUCACAUAAUUGUUUGAUUUUAUAACCCUUUAAAACAAACUCAUCAAAAUAUUUAAUCCAAAUUCUGAAUAAGUAACCAUAUCUAAUGUAGAUAGUUUUGAAUAAUUUGAUAAUUUUUAAUAGUCAAAUGUAGAUUUAUCACAAUUUAGAUCAUAAAUAUAUAACCCAAUAAACUCAUAAUAUGAACAAAUAUAACUGGGCUAACUUAAGAAAAAAAACAAAUUGGUGCAAAAUGACUAAUCUAACUAUAAAAGUUUAAAUUUUAAUUUGACCUCAUGGAAAUCAUUCUCAAAUUUAAUUAGGAGAUUUUAUGGUUUUAAUCUAAAAAAUUUUGCAUUUUAUAUUGUAAAAACCUAUAUCAUAUCAAGAUUAAACUUCAGUAAAAAAAAAUAUUAGAAGGAGAGUUUUUUUAUAUAUAGAAUUACGUUAUAAAAAAAAUAUUAGUCUAACUUAAGUUUGGAAUGAAAACUUAAGUGAAAUUUAACAGUCUGCAACAACAAUCCUUUACCAUCCACCAUUAAAUGAUCAACAGAUUUUUUUAAGGACAAUAUAAAUUCUGAAAGAGCGUAGACAUGAAUGACAGCCAAGAACCACCCAACAGCCAUGCAGGGUCUAGUCUGCAUGGCAAUGGUCCACUCAAUCGCUGAAUCCACAUGAACAGUCUAAUGAACUGCUCAACAUGCAUUUGGUUCUGGUAAUUCAAUUAUGCGAAGGGUGUAGGUCCGAAUUCUUCAACUUAAACAAACAUGUUUGCGUAAUUAAGUGUUCAAUCACGUACUUAAUUUGCUAUUGAAAACAUUUAGAAUUUAUCAACAAUUUAAUUAAGCAGGUGUAUACAACCUUCCAACAUUAUGGAAUAAAAAUAUGACAUUUGGCGUUCUCAUCACAUAUUAUGAACUGUUAGGAUGUUGCAUGAAGUAUUAUCUGAAUAUAUAUGUUAUGAACUGUUUGCAUGAAACAUGUUAGGAACUGUUAGGAUGUUGUCGCAUAACUAUUAUCAUGCUACAUAACACUAUUUCAGUUGUGCUUGCAGGUAUACAUUAAUGAAGCAUUUGUUCAUGAUUGAACUAUCUGAACUACUUACAUGCCAAUUCAUUCUCAUGAUGUUUUGUCAUAAAUCAACUAAAGAGGGAGAUUGUAAAUGUCAAAAUGUUUGGUUUUGAUUAGUGAAAGAUUAUUUGCGUUGUUGAAGAUUAUUUUGUUUAGGUUUCUACUUUAUUCAAAUUAGAUAAUGAAUUAGUCAAAUUUAUCUCAUAGGAUAUAGCAUGAUUAUUUAUGUAAUUAUCUAUGGAUAAAUUAUAUAGGAAAUUCAGAUAAGUUUUAUAAAAAAAAAGAUAAAUACAAGUUAUCGGAAGAUAACAAUUAGAGAAGUGUUUUUGUGAAACAUGUUAGCAGUUUUUUAAGAAUGUAACAAACUAGGAAACUUAAAGAUAAUGUUUAUUAAAUGUUCUUAUCCUUUUCACAUGGAUGUGUAUAUAAAGAAGGACAAUCAGAAGCAUUUGAGAGUUGCAUUGGAAGCAGAGAAAGAGUGCUCAACCAGCUAAAGAGUUACACAAAGUUUCACAGCAUGUACUCUUGGCACACAAGUAGAGUGUGAAGAAAAUUCUCAAGGAGAAUUGUUUUAAGAAGAGUUGGAGAGCCUGCAUACUUUCAGGGGGAGUUCCUAUGUUAACUAUUGGCAACUAGAUGUUUCAGUUAGGAUGAGAAUAAUUUGAAGAUUGUUAGUUGUUCUGGCAAGUUAUUGCAAUAGAAGACAAAAUAGAGUGUUUGUCUUGACAAGUAAGGUAGUAUAGAUGCAAAGGAUUGGUAGUGAAAAAUACUCCUCUUGUAAUCUUCUAUACUAGAUAAAAUUUGUAUAUCUUGAAUUUGGCUGCCUCAUAUGGUUUUUUUUUUAAUCUUUUAAAAGUUCUUCAGAAUAUUUUCUCUUCAUAACCAAAUAAUUUGUUUAUUUAAGUUUUCUUGUUAAUAUACAUGGAACAGAAACAAGACUAUUAGUUAUUAAAAAUGAUAAAUAUUUUAGAAUCUUGUAUUUUCACAUUUUCCAUAUUAUAUAAUAUACAGUGUCCAAAGUUUGCAAGCAGGUCAUCAAUGUUGAAUUAUGAUUAAAUUAAUAGCAUGUAUUAUUAAUAUUAAUAUCCGCGUUUAUCAUAUGGAUACCUUUAUUAAUUGAUUUGUUGUUCCCUUUUCCCUUGUGUAGCUAUUUGGUUUGGAAUGUGCAUCCGCGCCAAUACUAUUUAAUUGCAAUUCUCUUCAUCAUGUGAUAUAAUUAAAUGAUUAAAGUCAAGCCCAUACGUCCGCAACAGUACUCACCAUAUAUAUAUAUAUGAAAAUAAACUUACUAUUUAUUUAGUAAAAUAAAAAUUAGUUGAAAAGUCUUUAUUCAUUUUCACAAUAAACAACGAUAAAUAUCCACACAUAAAGUUUCAACACCAAGAACCAUUACAAAAACUUGGUACGAACCAUGCAUCCACACAUGGUAUGGACCAAACACCUUAACUAUUCAUAAAAACUUUAACUAUUUAAGUUAAUAAAAGCAUAGAGAAAAAUAUAAACAGGCAAAAAAGAUGAAAAUUGCAUAAUAUAUUUUUGAGUUGUGAAUAUGUUUUUGUAAAAAUAUCACUAGGGUGAUAUUUAGAGCGAAGACAAGAGUAUUCUCCCCGGCCCCUCCUUAAAUUUCCCCGUCCUUUAAAAUGCCCCCAUCACUAUCAAAUAAUUCCCUGCACACAGCCCUGUGUGAGGGGUAAAGUCACGGGAUUAUUAGUGGAGCAAUUUGCUCCACUAACCAAAUAAACUAAGUACUCCUGUCAAGUGGAGCUCUAAAGACAUAUCUUAUAAUAAUAAUAAUAAUAAUAAUAAUAAUAAUAAUAAUAAUGGUGCACACGCUUCAUCAUGCCACUUUUUUGGAAUAAUCCUUGUAUUAUAUCAUUGCUCACAAACAGGAUACUUAUAAAAAAAUAAAAAAACAGAAAAUACAAUGGGACGUGAUAAACAGGAUAGCUCACGGAAUUUCAGAUCUAAAUCAUGGAAUAAAAUCAUCUCUGUCUUGCGUGAUCGAUCGUGUAAUCUUUGUUCUUUUUUAAAAAAGUCGCAACCGCACACUUAAAAAACUGCAAAAUCACAUCUUUCUUUCUAUCUUCCGUUGCCAAGCAUUAUUUUCAAACUCCUUACGAAGAUUUUUUGUUUGUAGAUCAAGUGGUCAAGUAAACAUCGGUUCUAUUUGGGAAUGUAUUUGUACUGAAGUUAAUUUAUUAUUAUUAUUUUAAAUUAAAUUGUUUUGUUUUCAAAUUAUUUUAAUAUGUUGAUAUUAAAAAAUUUGACUUGACCCACUUUCUUCAGCAUCUAGUGUAAUAACUAAAAUCAAACGGCAUUGCAUUUGGUGUAUAAACUAUAAAGGUGUCAGAAGUGUGAUAUCCCACUUUCUUCAUUAUUAGUCUGUAACAACCUUCUCGUUUCCUUAUAUCACUACUGGCCAAAUUGAAGUUUCUCAAAUUCUAAAGUUACAGUUUUAAAAUUAUAUAGGAAUUGAGAGAAAAUUCUGAUAUUUUUAUUGAAAAGUUAGUAAUUCAAUAAUCUAAUCUUAAAACAAUACUCCCUUUGUUGAUAUACAAGUUUAAAACCGACCUAAUCAAAAGAAUUAAAAACUAAGUGAGAAAAAUAAUUAAAAUUCAAAAUUAAUUAAAAAAAUAAUUAAAACUACACAAAUGGAAUCUUCUAUGCCUAAUUUAAAAAGAUUUAUGUCGUGGAUAUAGAAUCAUCUAGAGUACAAUUCAAUAGUUGAAUAUAAAAUUAUGAUUGUUUUAGAUCCGUUUCAUCUUAUAUUAAUGCUUUGAAUUAUAAUAAAAAUAUUAAUAUUUAUAACACAAAUAAUAAUAUUUUCAAUAUUUAUACAUUCAAUUAUAAUAAAAAUAAUAAUAUUUAUGGCACAAAUAAUAAUAAUAAUAAUAAUUUUUAAUUUUAUCCUUCAAAACAACUAUAUGAUUUUUCUUUAAAGGUUAUUAUUAUUAUAUUAUAUACAUAAAGCUAAAUCAUAUGGGAAAAGUCAUGUUCAUCAAGACCCAUAGCACUACGGAUUGCACAUUUGAUGGGGCAUGGUGUGCUGCAGCCCCACACACUGACACCUGGUGCAAGGGCAUUCAUGCCUAGCCACAAAGAGUUCCAAGGCUGCAUGGGGGAGAGGUUAAGCCCCAGGUUUCGAACACCUGGUGUUGGGUCCGCUGACCUGCAUGCUAGGUCCGAACAUGGACCCCCUUCUAUUGGGUCAGGCGUCCUCACCCAAAUCACUUGGGUCUAGACAAGGGUCGAGCCCUUAACCCCCUUGGUUCUGUCCACGGUCCAAUCCCAUACCCCUUAGGGUUCAGACAUGGCCUCAUCCCCAACGCCCUUGGGUCUAACCACGGACGCAAACCCCAACCUGAUUGGGUCCGGACACGGAACCAACCCCCUUGGGUCAAGACAUGAACCCAUCAGGUUUGGUCCUGACGCGAACCCAACACACCAUGUGUCCGUACUCCGAAGGACCCAAACACCAACCCCCUUGGGUCCAGACAAGGACCCAACCCCCCUUAGUCUGGACACGGACGAACACAACCCCUUUAGGUCCGGAUGCGAAAGGACCCAAACUCCUUAGGUCCGGACACGAAAGGACUCAAACCCCAACCAAUUUGGGUCUAGAUACUGACCCAACCCCCUUGGGUCCAGAAAUGGACCCAUCCCCCUUGGGUCCAGACACGCCCCAAUCCCCAACCCCCUUGGGUCCAGACACGUCCCAGUUGGGCCUUGGGUCCAGCCAUGACCCAAAUCAAAAUUAGAAUGUUAAUGAACUCACCAUUGCCAUUAAGCUCCAUUGAGUGUAAACAAUGAAUUUAUAAAAUAGUCAAAAGUGGGAUGUCGUGAUUUCAACAAUGCCGUUUCAGAAAAUUGAUAGUCAUGAUGAAAAUAAGAAUACAGAAUUGUUGAGUUGAAACGUGUACGCCUGAAAUGUAUAGUGAUGAUGGUGGAACUGAUGCGGUUGUAUAGCAGCACCAAAAAGUACUUUCCUAAUGAUUUCCUUGCGGAAGAAAUUAUGGCAUGUUGGAAAACGAUGCCACCCUAACAAUCCAAGAGUUCAAAUUCAACUUGAAUAAAAGCAUGCUAAUUUAGAGGAGAAAGGAUCCAAGAACAUCAUGAAACAGGGGAUUGUUCUAUUUUGUUAUGUAACAAUCUCAACAGCUAAUUAAGAGGUUAGAUUGUAGGGUCUAAUUUCAAAUGCAAGACUCUAUUGAUUCUCAUCAUUAUAGUAAUAAAACCAUGUACAUUUUUAUUAAAUUAAGAGGAAACACAAAAUUAAACAAGAAAAUCUUAAGAUUUCAGAAAUAAAUCUAACAUUGUCGAACGGAUUGUGACCAAACCCAGAUUUGGUGGAAGAUAGAAAUAUGAAAAGAGAGCAGAAAUUGAUGGUCUCUUCUGCUUUUCCUGGCCUCCUUGUUUUGCAUAUAAGGUUCGGCCAUCUAAGCCUUUCAUGGGGUUUGAAUUUCCUGGCCUCCUGAGUUAAUUUCAUCUAACCCAUAUAAGGCUAGACUUGAAUAUUUCUAUAUAUACACUUAAGGCUGGAUGAGCUUGUCUCCUUAGCAGGCCUUCUUAGGCUUUUGUGCUGCCAAACUAUGUCAGCUCUAAGCUCAUUAUUAUCUGAAUGAAAUCAUUGCAUACUUGCUAUCAAGAAGAUUUUUUUCCUGAUGGAUUUCUCUCACAUUGCAACAGCAGUAAUCAAUCAUGGCACCCAACUCAGUUGAAACGGUGAUCGGUACAAUGACUUCAAGUCACGGUUACCUCUUCUUUUCUUUUUCUUUCUUUUUUUUUGUUACGAAAAAACAAGUAAAGUGUAUAUCUAUGAAAUUAAGUUACAGAAAAUGUAAAAUACACUUGUCAUGGCUGAUUGAAAUCGUGGAAGAAAAAACUAGAGGAAAGAUAAUCGAUUGACCCCCAACGAAGACCAAUGCAGAGGAAUUUCAAAGGGGAAAAACGGUGGCGGCUUUAUGAUGCAGUUCAUCUAAAGAUAAACCUAACCUGAAUUAAUUGUUCGGUCUCCUUCAAAGCGAAAUAACUUUGCCAGGUUUCCUCUCAGUGACAUUACAUUUUUAAAGUUAAAAGUGCUGAAGCACAAUUCAAAGAAUAAGUAGUAUUAAACUUAACAAGCUAGUUCAAUGGAGGAGAAUGGUGUGCUGAAACACUAAGAUUUUCAAAAAAAUUGAAGCAUAUCAGAUCCAUGCUGCUGCAUUCGCAAGAAACUAGCACCCAUCAACAAUGUGCUAAAUGUCAAUGCAGAGCUUUAAAUCAUCUACAGAGGCUCAUGAAGAAUAUAGGCAUAAAUGAUAACAGAUAACACACCAGAGCACUCUACGUAAACUGAUAUCUUUAGAAAAUUCAAAGGCAUGAAUGAAAAAGAAAAGCUAGAAAUAUCUAAGUCAGCUCUUAAUUUGUAACAGUCCACAACUUCAUGUUUGGUGUGUACUGUAAACUAUGCUUUCCACAUAAUCAUGAGCUUCAUCUGCAAAAAACCAUUUUCACUUCUUGGGACAAGGGAUCAAAAAAAUACAAACCUGUUGUUGGAUUACAUUCAUAAUUUAUAUCAAGCCCUAGCUGCUGCUCGAAGGAAGUCUUUCAAGGAAAAAAAUCAGGAACAAAAAAUGCUGAGAGGUCCAUCUUGGAGGUCAGAAAGCUGGAGUUCUACCUAGAAGAAGAUACCUCUGGAGAGAGUAAUAAAGGAAGCCUGAACUGCUUAGAGUUCUCUUACCGAAGCUUCAAGUUAAGAUCAUUUUCAUUUCAAUUUGGAUGUAGAAAUAAUGAUGGGAUAUGAAAAUUAGGUUAGUUAUAUUUUGAAAAAGGGUAUAUAUGAAAGUUAAAUCCUCUGUUCAAAUGAACAAAGGGCUCAACUUGAGCAAGAGUUAACAAGCUAUCCAUCGAGGUCAAUGGAACAUACCACUGAUAUUAAUCUUUUACUAUUUAGGGGAAUUCAUAAAUCCCGUAUUACAAGAAGCCAAGAAUUGGUUGGUUGCUCAGCACAACAUAACUGAUACAAACAAUUACUGAUACAAGCACAAGGACAAACACAAGUCACAUCAAAACAGAAAGGCUAAGCAACAAGAACACUUCCACAGAGCACUUCUCACAGGCAAAUUGCUAAACAUGCAGUGAGCAACCAUUGAUUUGGAAUGCGACUGCUUCUCCACAGAGGAUUACAACAAAUUCAGAAAGCAGCCCACACGCUCCUGAUAAGAUCCAAUCACGUUCUGAAUCUGGACAACUUGCAAAAGUUUAUAGCCAAAAAGCUGUAGCAAGUGUCAAUGCAUUCUUCAAUGAAGUAAAACCACCUACGUCGCCAAUGCGGAUUUAUGCACAAUACUGCUGCAAUUGUCAACACCAUAGUUAUGUAAAACACACCAAAGCUGGCAUAGAAACUGUCCAUGUCUAUGAAGCCACCAUCUCCAUUGAAAUCGUUAGGCACUCUUGCGGAUGGUGAUUCUGUUUUGUCGCAACUGUUUUGCAAUGGAGGUCCACAAAGAAGAGGAUUCCCUUUAUAACUGCUCUCAUCAAAGGUACCAAAUUGAUUUUUCAUCUCCAGUGUUCUUCCUGACAAAUUAUUGUACGACACGUUGAAAACUUCUAGAAAGGUCAGUUCAACGAGUUGUUCUGGAAUUCUCCCAUUCAAGGUGUUGUGAGAAAGAUCCAAGCUCUCUAUCUGCUUCAGAUUGGAGAAAGAUGGAGGGAUCAAUCCAGUGAGAUUAUUUCGCGACAGAUUUAGAGAGUAUAUCCCACUUAAGUUUCCCCAUUCUGUCGGGAUUUCUCCAGUGAAUCUGUUACAAGAAAGGUCCAUAACAGACAUGUAACGAAGGAUAUCGCCUUCGUAAGAGUAGAAAUUUUUCUUUGUUGUAAGCUCUACAGAUAUUUUUACACUGAUCUCUGGCCACAAAAUUUUGCCAUAAAGAUAAAAACCUUCGUGCUCCAAUUCUCUUUCCCCCAUGGAUGCAAAUAUUUCUUUCCGGCUUCCAUCAUCUUGUGAGUACGUACUAGUGACAACCCAAGUUUUUUCAUAUGAUGCCGUAAAAUCUAAAUUGCUCAAACAUGAGGGUAACAGACUAGAAAAAUUAUUUUCUGAAAGAUCCAAUAUGCUUAAUUUCCUUAACAAGCAUAAUUGAACAGGAAGUUCCCCAUUGAAUUGAUUAGAUUUCAAAAGAAGAAAACUCAAUUCCGAAAGUCUAUCAAUCCAAUUUGGAAUUGGCCCAGUUAAGUUGUUAUAGCCGAGAUCUAAUGUCACCAAAGAAGAGAUGUUAUAAAAAGCAUUUGGCAGUGGACCGGUCAAUCGAUUUCCGUAUAGGUGGACAUAGCGUAAAUGCGGUGCAUAAAAGCCCAACGGCAAAGACCCAGACAAAUUGUUUUCAGAAAGAUCUAAAAAUUCAAGCCUAGAAGGAUUGAAAUAUUCUUUUGGAAUGGUACCUUCAAACUGAUUUCUGGACAAAUCAAUUGCCUGAAAGGGGUAUAUUGAAGAGUUCCCAAUUCCCCUUGGAAGCAUGCCUGACAAAAGAUUGUUACUUAUAUCAAACCACAAAAAUGAUGAUGCAAGAGAAAAGGUACCAGAUACUUGUCCUGCAAAUUUGUUUCCGUCGAGAAAGAGGUACUCUAGGUGAGUCAUGUUGAACAAAGAGAGUGGUAAUCGCCCUUUGAAAUUGUUAUUGGACAGCUUUAAGGACCACAACGAGGAGCCUACUGCUGGAAAAUUAUGCUUAAGCAGUUCACAAGACAUCUGAUUGUUGGAAAGAUCAAAGUAUUCGAGAGAGCUCAUAUUCCCAAAACAAGGAGGAAUACAACCUGUGAGGCUGUUGUUAGCCAUCAUGAAGUUUUUCAAACGUGGAAAAAUCGAACAUAUGUUGCUUGCAAUUUGACCAUGUAUGUUGUUGCCAGACAUAUCUACUGUCUGAAGGUUGGGUGUUGGAUGUUGUGGCAGCUGCAAAAGACUUGUAAAUGAGGUGUCUCUCAAAUAUAGCCGAUUUAACUUUCUAUUAUUCUCAAACAGCCAAGAUGGGAAAGGUUCUCCAACGAAUUUGUUGUGGGAUAGAUCAAGAAACACCAAAUCAUGUUGGCUAUGCAGGAAGUUUGGAAAUCCAGCUCUGAGUGGUUUUGAAGUACAGUUUGAAGCACUGAAGUAACGAAGCUGGAACUUGGGAGCUGAAGGCUGAAAACUGGGUGCAGCUAUCAGCUCAUUGUUAUCGCAUGCAAUGAACUUGAGGUUGGAGAGGUUCAUAAAUGAACCAAAUGUUAUUGGAACUUGAAAGUAGUUACUUGAAACUGAGAGGUAUUCAAGCUGCGUAAGAUGGGAAAGGUGACUAGAGGCAAUAUUUCCCUCCAAUUGGUUGUCAGAUACAUCCAAGAUUUGUAGAGAUGAUAGAUUUCCAAAACAAGGAGGGAGUACGCCCUUUAGAUAGUUUCUUGAGAGAUAUAGCUUUUCAAGAUUCUUCGGUUCACACCAGCCUGCAGAAUAUAUCAAUAUGUUCAUAUAUCAAUUAUGUAAUUGCUUGGUGAGGUUUUAAAGUUUUAGUUGAUUCUUGUUUCAUUACCUAGGUCGGUUUUAGAUUAUAUUUAAACAACUUUGUUUGUUAGUUUUUUAAAAGAUUAAUUAUCUAUAUUAUUGAUAUUCAUAAUUUUUUUAAUUCAAAGUUUUUUCUAUAAUUUAAGACAGAGAAAUUUUAGAGAUUCAGAAACUCUAGAUUUUAUCCUUUUCUAUACAUAACAUUAUGAGUAAAUUUCUAGUUUAAUAAAACAUAGAUAUAACAAAAUAUCUAAUGAACAACUGUUAUUUGGAUUUCAAUACUCUUAUAAUUGUUCAUUUGUAGAAUUACCAUCCCAAUAUCCAUAUAAAUUCAAUGAAAUAUAAAUUUGUGUGUUAAUUUUUUGAUAUUAUAUCAAUAUUUUAAUAACCAAAUAUUCAUGAAUUCUAACAUAUCACAUAUAAAUUCUAACUAGUUGAUCCUUUAAUAAAAUUUUAAAAAUUGAACAAAAGUUAAUGGUUAAUACACAUCUAUUUAUUAGACAAAUUCACUAAAGAAUAAAUUAAGCCUCACUAAGGAAUGUCAUCCAAGGAAGGAAUGAUUUACAACUUUACCAUUGAGACCAGUUGAUCCUGUGAACAUAUUGUCUGAUAGAUCUAGAGAUUUGAGAGUUGAAAAUCCAUUGAGAGAUGAUAAAAUGCUGUCGUUAAAUUUAUUGUUACUUAGAUAAAGUUCCUCCAAAUUCCUCAACCCUGAAGCUAGGACUUGAAAACCUGAAAGAAAAUUGUCGGAAGCAAAGAAAUUAACAGAUAUAUAUAUCAACCAUCCCAAUAUCCAUAUAAAUUAAAUGAAAUAUAAAUUUGUGUGUUAAUUUUUUGACAUUAUAUCAAUAUUUUAAUAACCAAAUAUUCAUGAAUUCUAACAUAUCACCUCCAUUCUUUUAAUAAAAUUUUAAAAAUUGAACAAAAGUUAAUGGUUAAUACACAUCUAUUUAUUAGACAAGUUCACUCAAGAAUAAAUUAAACCUCACUAGGGAACGUCAUUUGAGGUAGGAAUGAUUUACAACUUUACCAUUGAAACCAGUUGAUUCUGUGAAUCUAUUGUUUGAUAAAUCUAGAGAUUUGAGAGUUGAAAAUCCACUGAGAGAUGAUAAAACACUGUUGUUCAAUUUAUUGUCACUUAGAUAAAGUUCCUCCAAUUUCCUCAACCCUAAAGCUAGGACUUGAAAACCUGAAAGAAGAUUGUCAGAAGCAAAGACAAUUAAAAGAUUUAUAUAUCAACCAUUUCAAUAUCCAUAAAGAUUCAAUGUAAAGUUACUUGAAACAUAACUAACUUUAUGUGUUAACUAAAAAAAAAUUGAAAGCAUAGAACCUUGGUUCUUUAAGCCACCAACUAAUUGGUUGCCGCUUAAGUCGAGAAUCUCCAGUUCUUUGAAAGGCAGAAACAAAGGUGCAUUGAGAUCCAAGUCUUCGACUGCAUCAUAAUUUACAUAUGAAAGAUGUAGUUCGAUCACUCGGUUUGUGGUGUUGUCACACACAACCCUAUAAUAAUCCCAGUUACAGCAAUUAAAGUGCUCUUUAUCCCAACGUUCUAGCGGAUCAUAGGACCCAGCUGCACGUGCAUGAUAGAACCAAGCUUUUAUCUCUAAGAGACUAACUCUCUCUUCCUCCACACAACAAUGGCUCCGGUCGUUGAGGAAGGCCAGUGCCAUGAGCAGCAUCCACACCCACAUUUGCCUCAUCUUCAUAUUAACGCUCCUACUUGACAAAAUACAAAAGCAAGCAAGCUGUCUCUUAUAUACAAAUUAAUUUGUCCUCUUCAUUUGAUCGGACUUAAUUAUCUGUAUCAUUGAAUUUUCUAUGCUGAAUUAAUUAUCCAAGGGAGACUUGGGCUGAAUUGAAUGGGAGAAUCUUCACGGACAGAUCCAGGGGCCCGCACCACGGCACAGAUCGCUCGGUUUGUGGUGUUGGAUUAAAGGAUAUUAAUUCCAACUUCUUGUUUACUGCUUUACUUUUCUUCAUAGACUUGGGAAGUCAGGUGCUGUAUAUGAACAAUUGAUUUGAUCUUAUGAAAUACACGGCAGAAGAGAUUAGAAAAUGACUUCUAUUAUCAAUAAUUUCUUCUUACUGCACCUACUGAUUUUUAUUUCUUUUGAAAUAUUUAGAAUAUCUCUUUUGAAAUAUCAAUAUCGCCUACCCCACUUCCUUCAUUUUUGUUAACGGAGUGAAAUGAUUUCAACACGUGUCCAUGCAUCUGCCAGCUACCCUAAUUAAUCUGCACUAACAGUGACCAUAACAGCUGUAACAAUACUCCCUCAAUACUUGUAACAUCAUCCUAAUAUAUAUAUAAUAGAUUGGAAGCAUGCAUGGGUUUCUUACAUGAUUAACUAAACUUAAUCUUGUAAUAUUGAAUUAUUUGAUGAAAACAUUAUCUAAAACAAGAUUAAUUGAUAUAUUUAAAGUCAAAUAAAAAACAAACCCUGCUUAUUUUUAAUAUUAAAAAUUAUUUCUAACAUAAAUUUUUAACAUAAUAAUUUAUCAAAAUUAAAAUAAAUUAGAAUCACCGUUUGAGCAAUUGAUUUGAUCUUGGGCCCACAAUUAUUUUCAUUAGCCUGUUAAUAUUUUUCUUCAAGCUUGUGGAACAGGUUGUUCCUUUAGGCUACUUUGCUUCUUCUUUUUUUUCUUCUUAGACUUGGGAAGUUAUUUGUUUGAACAUUUAAUUUAAGUUUUUAUGGUUGUUUGUUUUUGUGUUUUAAAAGUAUUUUUAAAUAAAUUUUAAAUUUUUUAAUUUUUUUAUUAACUUCAAAUUAAUAUAUUUUUAGUGUUUUCAAAUCAUUUUGAUAUGCUAAUGUCAAAAAUAAUUUUUAAAAAAUAAAAAAAUAUUAUUAAUAUAUAUUUUAACAUAAAAAAUUAUUUAAAAAACAAUAAUAUAAUCUCAUCAUCCAAUAUCGCUUGUUUUUAUUCUUCGUAGACAUGUGAAGUAAAGAUUCCCAAUUAUCCACUGCAUCAAUCUCUAUCCCAUCAAAAUGAAUUUGGUGCAAGAAAAAAAUAUCUAAUAUAUGUGAUUUACUCAUUAUGCAUAUUUAAGAUUGCUAAAGGAAAAUAUUUAGUUUAAUUUCACAUAUAAGCUAAUUCGAUAACACUUUUUAAUAUAAAACCAAAAAAAAAAAGAGUGCUAUCGUCAUCAACUUUAUUUGGUUUCAAUUUAUGACGUUUGACAUAUAAAUUCUGUUCAAUUUAAAUCAACUUUUCAAUAAAUAGUGAAUGUUAAUGAGCACAGUAGCGAGAACUAAGCAGUGUUAUGUGUACUUGGAACCAAGGUUGUUAAAAUCGUGUUUUGACUCGUAAAAUCGUACGAUUUUACGAGUCAAAACAUGUAUUACGGGUUGAAUCGCUUGAAAAAAUCAAAAAUAGCUAAAAUCGGGUUGAAAUCGAGUGAAAUCGCGAUUUCAGGACCGAUUUUGCGAUUUUGACAAAAUAAGGCCCUGAAACAAAAUCCUCCCUCCUGGAUAGCUGUCAUGCCUAUUGGAUUAUUCCUGCACAGUCUUACUCAUACACAACGUUUCAUGUCUUCCUUAGCUCUCGUGUCUAGCGUGAAUAGGAAGGUCCCCGUGUUGGUCAAGCAGGAAUGUCUGGAACUAGUUGCUAUGUGUAAUAAAAAAAACUUUGGCAGGAUAUGAACAGAAUGAAGAAUUACAAAGAUGAAAUCUCUCUCUCUCUCUCUCCCCUUCCUUCUUCUUAUCUCUUUCACCAUUCAUGCUGCAACCCUCCUGUUGAUUUCUGGAAAUGGUUCAGAACCAUUCCAUCGCAUUCAAUUCCCCUGGAUAUAUUUCUGGAAAUGUAAUUUUUAAUCUAUUAAUUUUUUUUAUAAAACAUAUUAACCGAAUAUUAUUUCAAUUUCACUCGAGUUUUAUGGUAGAAACUGGUGAAGUGUGUGUAUAACACCUGACAAUAUUUUAAGAUGCUUGAACUAUAUAUGAAUUUUUAUUUGAAGGCUUGAAAUAUGUAUGAAAUUUUAUUUGAAACAUGUUUUUUAAUGUGCUUGAACUAUGUAUGAAUUUUUAUUUGAAACAUGAAUUUUUUUUAAUGUAUUUCAAAAUUCCUUACGAUUUUACGAGCCGUUUUUACAAUCCGAUUUUGUGAAGGGCUUUCCGUUUCGUUCUAAAAUCGCGAUUUUAACAAUCUUACUUGGGACUGUGAAUAAUGUACACUUUAGCUCUCUUCAUACAGUCAAUUGACUUUGACACAGUAAAAAUGAAAAAAAAAUUACUCCGUCGAUUGGUGAUUAAACUACAAUACUAAAUAUACCAACUCUGUGGAUUUGUGAUUAAACUUGGAAAAAAACAACAAUACUAAAAAAAGCCAUAUGUGAAUUUGUGAUUAAGAAAAUUCAUUAUUUUAUUUUUUGACAUAUUAGGUUCCACUAGAUGCACCCAGUCAAUGUGAGUGGUUGUCUUUUUUAUUAUUUAUGAGGAUCCAAUUGAUGCAUCAAGUCUAGGGCUCCACAAUCACUGUCACUAGUCAAUUCCGCCAACUUGUUGCGUAAACUACUUUGCUUUCUCUUCAUAUAUAGACAUGGAAAUCAUGUGGAAUCAAAAAAUUUAUUCCUUAACCUUUUUCAUGGAAUGAAGUGAUUUCCCAGUAGCAUCAUCAUCCACUUGCACUUUUUUUUUCUUCGUAGACUUGAGAAGUCGGUCAAGAUUCCCAAUAUAUUAUCAACAUCAUCAAUUUAAAAAAGAAAUAUAUGUUAGGUUGAUUUAUAUGUUAGGCUGAUUUACUUCCAUAUUAAUUAUUGUUUGAAUAUUCUUAAUCCGAAUGAUAUUAGUCCAUUCAAAACAAAUUCAUUUUCUUUUUUUAUAAAUAUAUUUAUAUAACUACCAAAGAAGAAAAUGCAUUGAUUAAAAUAUUAUUAAUCUGUUUGAAUGAAGAAAGUUAAGGCAGAGAUGACCAACCUAAACACCGUGUGGGCCAAUAAAAUUGAAAACAAAAGAUAAUAUCAAUGGCUUGCAAAAAAAAAGGGUUUGUGUUAAAUUUAUCUAUAUGUUAAAUUACUUGAUUUACUAAACUUAAUCAUGUAAUAUUGAAUUAUUUGAUGAAAACAUUAUCUAAAACAUGAUUAAUUGACAUAUUUAAAGUCAAAUAAAAAACAAAUCCUGCUUACUUUUAAUAUUAAAAAUUAUUUUUUAAUCUAAACUCUUUAGCAUGAAAAUUUAACAAAAUUAAAAUAAAUUAUGAUUACUAUUUGAGCGAUUGAUUUGAUCUUCGGCCCCACAAUUAUUUUUGUUAGUCUGUGAAUGUUUUUCUUCAAGCUUGUGAAACUGGAUAUUCCUCUGUAAUGUAAGUUCCUUUGUUUUUUUUCUUCGUAGACUUGAAAAGUCAUUUGUUCGAACAUUUGAUUUUCUGAUAAGUCAAUCAUCCACUGCAUCAAUCUCUAUCCCAUUGUUAGUCUGUGAAUUUUCUAUGCUGAAUUAUCCAAGGGAGACUUGGGCUUCAUUGAAUGAGAGAGUCUUCACGGCACAGAUCGCUCGGUUUGUGGUGUUGGAUUAAAGGAUAUUCCAACUUCUUGUUUACUGCUUUGCUUUUCUCCGUAGACUUGGGAAGUCAAGAUUCCUAUAAUCCACAUCAUCAAAAAAACCCAAAUCGAUAAUGUGGUGUUGGAUUAAAGGAUAUUAAUUCCAACGUCUUGUUUACUGCUUUACUUUUCUUCAUAGACUUGGGAAGUCAGGUGCUGUAUAUGAACAAUUGAUUUGAUCUUAUGAAAUACAUGGCAGAAGAGAUUAGAAAAUGAUUAACAGAUAUAUACAUCUCAACCAUACCAAUAUCCAUAAAGAUUCAAUGUAAAGUUACUUGAAAUAUAAUUAACUUUAUGUGUUAACUAAAAGAAAAUUGAAAGCAUAGAACCUUGGUUCUUUAAGCCACCAACUAAUUGGUUGUCGCUUAAGUCGAGAAUCUCCAGUUCUUUGAAAGGCAGAAACAAAGACGCAUUGAGAUACAAGUCUUCGACUGCAUUGAGAACAUCAUAAUUUACGCUAUAAAGAUUUAGUUCGAUCACUCGGUUUGUGGUGUUGUCACACACAACCAAAUCCCAGUUACAGCAAUUAAAAUGCUCUUUAUCCCAACCUUCUAGCUGAUGGGACCCAGGUGCACCUGCAUGAUUGAACCAAGCUUUUAUCUCUAAGAGACUAACUCUCUCUUCCUCCACACAACAAUGGCUCCGGUCGUUGACGAAGGACAGUGCCAUGAGCAGCAUCCACACCCACAUUUGCCUCAUCUUCAUAUUAACGCUCCUACUUGACAAAAUACAAAAGCAAGCAAGCUAUCUCUUAUAUACAAUUUUGUCCUCUUCAUGCAUUUGAUCGGACAGUGACAAUUAUCUGUAUCAUUGAAUUUUCUAUGCUGAAUUAAUUAUCCAAGGGAGACGUGGGCUUCAUUGAAUGAGAGAGUCUUCACGGCACAGAUCGCUCGGUUUGUGGUGUUGGAUUAAAGGAUAUUCCAACUUCUUGUUUACUGCUUUGCUUUUCUCCAUAGACUUGGGAAGUCAAGAUUCCUAUAAUCCACAUCAUCAAAAUGAAUGUGAUCGAAGAAAGGAAAAAAUGAAAAAAAAAAAAAAACAUUAACAGUGGCUUACAAAAAAUAAAUAAAUAAAUAAAACCAUCAAUUACGAGCUUCAUAAGAUAAUUUUAGCUUAAAAAAACCCAAAUCGAUAAUGUUUUCUUUAACAUUGGUAUCCGUUUAAUCAAUCUUCUGGUUUGAUCCUUGAUAGUGCUGUGUUUUGAUGCUUGUCGAUUAGCCACAAUAAUGUUAAAUUUACAAGGACAGAUCCAAGAAAAGCAAUGCAGGCCUGUUUUGGUCUCUGGGAGUCCCCUGAUAAAGGCUGCAACUAUUGCUUGAACCCUUGUAAAGGGGCCUUUACACAUGCGGUCCACUGAGAAGUACAACACCGUUCUUUAUUUAAUUCUUAUGGUUUAAAUCUACUAAUAACUUAGUCAUUUUGCAUGCUAUUUUUCCACUUGUUUUGUAAAAUAGAGAAAAGAACUGUUAAGCAUGCUGGAUAUUUCGCAUAAUAAGCUCCGGGUCCUUUAUCCUCUUGUUUGUCCAAUUUAACUUUCAUGGCAAACGAUGCAAAAUGCUAUGUAUCUUUUACUUGGCCUAGUAUUCAAUAUUUUGAUCAGUCAAAUCUUGUACUCAUGGGUUUGCCUCAAGUAGGCGAUUCUUAUCGGGAAAAUAAGUACACAAACAACAUUGCAGAUUAAUCUGUCGAGUUCUCAACAAAAAGACAGUCAUACUCCUAUCGAGAUGUGACGCGGAACAAUAAGUAAAAAGAAUUAAAGCAAGAAAAGAAAGAAGCUUUAAAGAAGAAAGAAGCUAAAGAAGAGGAGGAGAGGGGUUGGAGAUGUGCAAAUCUGCAAUUUUCAUUCAUUCAAAAAAUGUCUUCCCAAAUGACAAAGAGCAUAUAAAUAGUCUCAACCUAGAACAUCCUGCUAUUGGGCUUGGCCCAUCAAACCAAAUUGUUUAACAUAAAUAAUAAAAAUAACAAUGAGCAAGCCCAAAUGGGCUAAAUAAAUAAAAUUACAAUGAGAUAGGCCCAAUGGGCUUAGUCUCCCAACCAAAGCGUGACAGGCUGGGCCAUCCUACGUCGUCUCCGUCCAUAUACUCGUGUAAUCUGUGGCGUGGGCCUGGUGUCCUCACCAACUCUCCUGGGGUUAGAGAAACUCGACCUUGUCGAGCGUAGCAGUGGCCGACUCUGAUAGUACUCCCAAAGAUCUGGGUCAAGCUGCUGCAAAGUAUCUCUAGUAAUCCAAGUGCAGUCUGAGUCGGGUCGACCCACCCAGCGAACUAGAAACCGCUGAAUCUCACCAUUCCUAUUAAAAACAACUUGUUCAUCCAGAAUAGCAUCAAUAUUAUCCUUUUGUGCUGAUGUCAAAGUAAAAAGGGAUAGGGGUUUAUUAGGAUCAUCAGGAGGGGGUUAAGUGGUGUUCAAUGGGUCAUUUGGAAUAGGAAGUGGUUUGUGGUAUGCAACUAGAUCCUCAAUGUUAAAUGUAGAGCUAAUGCCAAAAUCAUGUGGUAAAUCAAGAACAUAAGCAUUUGGACCAACCCGUUGUAGCACUUUGAAAGGCCCGCACUACGUGCAUGCAAUUUUCGAUUAGCUCCCGAAGGAAACCGUUCGGGUCUAAUCCGUUAUCAUAGUCUCCAACAUUAAACUCAUUAUGUCGUCUAUGUGCAUCAGCUUGAAGUUUAUAUUGCGCAUUACUUGCUUGAAUUUGUUUAGUGAUCUCAAUAUGCAAAUCCUGAAUUCUACGUGCAAAAGACUCGGCUGACUCAGACACUCUAGCAUGAAGGGACAUGGGAAGAAGAUCUAAAGGUUUCCUAGGCUUGUAACCAUGUACAACUUCAAAGGGACUCAUGCCUAUUGACCUAUUGAUGAGCUAUUAUAGGCAAACUGGGCUAGGAAGAAUCAGAUCCCAAUUCCGAUUAUGAUCACUCACUAGACACCUUAAAAGGUUACCCAAACUCCUGUUAACCACCUCAGUUUGACCAUCAGUUUGGGGUGGUAAGCAGUAGAAAACUUCAAUUUGGUUCCCACCAUAUGCCAAAGGGUUUUCCAGAAAUAACUUGUAAAUCUAACAUCCCUAUCUGAAACUAUGGUUUGGGGAAGGCCGUACAACUUGACAAUCUCGUCAAAAUAGAGUUUUGCGACUCUGGAAGCAUCUGUGGUCUUAGUACAAGGAAUAAAAUGGGCCAUCUUAGAGAAGCGGUCGACAACCACAAAAAUAGAAUCAUGUUUCUUUGCAGUACGUGGAAGCCCAAGCACAAAAUCCAUGCUUACAUCUUGCCAAGGGCAAGUAGGCACGGGUAAUGGAGUGUAAAGACCAGUAUUUUGUUUUCUAUGCUUAGCGAGUUGGCAAGUUCGACACUGACCUACUAAUUUGGCGACAUCUCUUUUCAAACUAGACCAAAAAAACUGACGUUCCACUUCUUCGAUGGUUUUAUUCCUUCCAAAAUGUCCUGAGAGACCUCCAACAUGAAUCUCCCAUAUCAAAAAAUCACGCACAGAUGUUUUCAGGAUACAAAGCUUAUUAUCUCGAAAUAGGUAUCCAUCUUGGAGGUGAUAACCAUUUAUAACACGGUGAUGCGCAUCCUUCAAUGUCAAGUAUAUUUCUCCAAAUUCUAGGCAAGAUUCAUACUCCUCCUUAAGUCUCUCAAAUCCUGUGACUCCAACACUCAUUACAGAUAACAACGUCACCCGACGACUCAAAGCAUCUGCAGCCUUAUUCUCUAUUCCAGAUUUAUGUUUCAAAACAAAUGAGUAUGCUUGCAAAUAUUCAACCCAAUGACCAUGCCUAUUGUCGCACCCUAAAAAAAAUCAGCUCGCGGCAUCGGCUGGCGAUUUUUCUCGUUUGUUUGUCGUUGCUUGAAUUUGGUUCGUUGGAGUCGCCACCUAGUAAUUGAUUGCGGGCUACUAGGAAACCGGCUGUACUGGUCUUGUCAGAGAUUCGUGGGUACGGGACUGGUUGUGGUUAGGGAAGGUAUUAGCACCCCUAACACACCCUACCUGAGGUAAGCUGCUUCGCGAAUUUGAUGUAUUAAAGAAGUUUUAAUAAUUGUCUUUUCAUCAGAAAUUAGAAAUAUCACUUACGUAUAAGUUAAUAAUUCUUAACCAAGAUCCGAUCAAAAUAUUAAAUUCUUCUUUAAUAUAUUUGCAAUUUUAUCAUUAAAAAAUAUAUACAAAUAAAUAAAAACAAAAUACAAACACACACGUACACUUCCACUAUUUUUGUUUCUUUUCUUUUUUUCUUUUCUUUUCUUUUACAUCCAUAUUUACAAAACAAAUAGACAAUCCAAAAAAAAAUAAAAAAAAAAUACAUCAAACAAUUUAAAAUUACAAAACAGCCCCUAAAACAUCCUAAGGCUUCUAGAACAUGCAGGAACAGUGCACGAGAACAGUGCUGGGAGGCUUCUGGUGCAGAGAAUCAGUUGAUGCUUGCCAUUUGUUCUCAGUUAUACUAAGAAAGAAUGAACCGCGACUCUGUCCACCAUUCUCUCCUGUGCAUGAACAAAUCAGUGAAGGAAUAUUUGCAGUGAUAAAUAUGUUAAUGGUUUCCUGACUUCAUUAGAAUAUUUUGCUCCCAUUUUCUUUGCUCCAUGAACUGAAUAUAUAUUGCAACAUAAUUGUGGUGUUGUCAAUCACGGCAAUUAUGCACAUAAAUCCUUACUGGCGCCGCAGGUGGUUUUACUUCAUUGAAGAAUCGCAACUAUUAUGCUGCUGUUUUCUAGCGGUUAGUUUCCGUAAGCUGUCCAACAUCAUGUCAUCGAACCUCUGUAUAAUCAUUCAAUUAGAUGACACAUUUAAAAAUUUUAAAAACUAAUAAUACUAUAACUAUGAAGAACACCUAAAAUAUUUAAUUUUAUUCUUCCAAGUCUCUGCUAAACUAAUUAUACACAAUUGUGGUACUAGCAAUUGCGGCAGUUUUGUACAUAAACCCAUAUUGGCGACAUAGGUGGUUUUACUUCAUAGAAGAGUGCAUGGAGACUUGCUACUACUUUGAAUUGCAUACAUUUCAUAAGCUAUCCUCCUUCAUAAGGCCAUAGGGUCUGACGCGUGCCUUUUGUUUUUUCAUAUUUUUUAGUUUGAACUAAUAAAACCUUUACUUUUUUUCAAGCUUCAGUUAAUUUUAUUGCAGUUUCUCAAAUGAAUUCUACAAAUUCAAGAUAUAUAUGCAUCCUUAAUGCCAUAUUAAAGAGAAUAUAUAGAUAGGAAGAAGAGGAGCUUUACGUGAUAUGGAUAGCGAGAUGCUCCUAAGCCUAGAACCAGCUAAAACUUAAUAUUAUGAUGAAUAAUUCAGCAAAACUUAAUUCAAUUUCAACUUCCAUUCUCAUCAUUAGUACAAAAUGCAGAGUCAGAUUGAAAGGAAAAUGAUUGGAACUUGAAAUUCAGGUAACAAUACAUCUAGCAGAGCUUCCUCCUUACCCUCUCCCUAUUGUAUCUUCUUCGAGUGGAACUCUUAGCUUUUUGCCCUCCAAGAUAAAUGUUCUCAUCUUUCUCCAGUACUCUCUGAUAACUCAGAGAGCAGCCGCCCUGUAUAUUCCCUUUUUUUUUUAUUAUUAUUCAAAACGUUAUAGAGAAGUUCUUUUACAGAGAAACCCUUUUUAAGAUAACCAUCUAGAUAAAUAACAUUAAUCCCAUAUAUAUCAGGAUAUAUACAAUUACAAAAUAUUAAAAUAUAAUUUUUAUUUUAAAUUUUACAGCUCACGCUAACAUUAAUUCCUAAACAGUACAGCUCACGCUAACACUCUCUUUUCCAUCCAGCAUAAGCAGUCACAACUUACCUCCACGGAAAACUUUAUAGCCAACUUCAACCAAUAUUUAAAAGGAAUUUUGUCCUAUGUUUGAUAAGCAAAAUCAACAGAACCUGUCGUUGACUUUCUAGCUCAAAUUUAGCAGUAGCCAUUUUAAGGAGCAGAAACAAACACUGUACUUUUAUCAUCACGAAAAUCUGGUUGAUUUAUUAUCACGAAAAUCGAAAAUCUAGUUGAUUUAUCAUUACGAAAAUCUAGUUAAAACAAAUUAAUAUGAAAUCAAAUCGAGGAUGAAAGGUUGAUUUUGAGAUCAAGAAUAGCAUGUAUUAAAAAGAUAAUAAAUAAAAUUAGAGUAAUAACAUUGAUACAACUUAUCAUUAAAUUUCAUUUGCAAUUUCCUCUCGAUUUUCUGUAGUUCUGUAGAGACAUAGAUUAGUUGGUUCUUACGGGAAUUUUUCUUCCUUAAUUUCACUCCCAUUUCCCAAACGAUGGAAUUCAUACAACCUUUCGAUUUUAUUUCCACGUAAAAUCCAUUCUUCUCUAUCAAACAGAACAUAAUAAUGGGCCAUAUUUUAAUUUAAAUAUAUUUUUCCUAAUAUUUAAAGUUUUUUUACUGGGAAAAUAUCAUGGGGAUUUGAGAGAAAAGACAAUAGAUAAGAAAGGACAAGAAAAAAAGUGAGAGAAAAUGAUGGUGGGUCUUCAUUCUUCAGGGACCGUAUUGGAACUCUUUGGAGGCAUGCGUGAGAGGUGAAAUGGGAAAGUAUAGGGAACAAAGUGUAAUGUCAAUGAAUAUAUAGGGCUUAAAAUGCAAUUUACCCUUAAUUUUUUCGUGGAUGACGCAGUCACAAGGAGAGGAUAGAUGUCAUUUCUGAAAUGAUAAGACAGAAGUGACAAUAAGUAAAAUUUCGUAAAUCAUCAUCAAUCAAAAAUCAUGACGUGGGGACAAAUCACAUAAUUGAUUGAUUUUACAACCCUUUAAAACAAACUCAUCAAAAUAUUUAAUCCAAAUUCUGAAUAAACAACAAUAUCUAAUGUAGAUAGGUUUGAAUAAUUUGAUGAUUAUUAAUAGUCAAUUGUAGAUUUAUCACAAUUAGAUCAUAUAUAUAAAACCCAAUAAACUCAUAAUACGAACAAAUAUAACUGGGCUAACUUAAGAAAAAAAUACAUUGGUGCAAAAUGACUAGUCUAACUAAAAAAGUUUAAAUUUUAAUUUGACCUCAUGGAAAUCAUUCUCAAAUUUAAUUAGGAGAUUUUAUGGUUUCUAUUCUAUAAAGGGUGUGUGUAGGCUUGAAAGAAGUUAUGCGUGCCAAUUUCGUUAUUUUUUUAAUCUUUUUACAAUUCUAGUUUAAUUUUGGAUUUUAUAUUGUAAGAACCUAUAUCAUAUCAAGAUUAAAUUUCAGUAAAAAAAAAUAUUAGAAUUCUAGUUGUGGAGAGUUUUUUUAUAUAUAGAAUUACGUUUUUCUUUGAGCUUGUUUUUUUCUUAACCGGAUCAACUACAUCAAUCUCCUAAAAAAACGAAAAAAAAAAAAGUUGGGAAUGAAAACUUAAGUGAAAUUUAACAGUCUGCAACAACAAUCCUUUACCGUCCACCAUGAAAUGAUCAACAGGUUUUUUUUAAGGACAAUAUAAAUUCUGAAAGAGCGUAGACAUGAAUGACAGCCAAGAACCACCCAACAGCCAUGCAGGGUCUAGUCUGCAUGGCAAAGGUCCCCUCAAUCGCUGAAUCCACAUGAACACAGUCUAAUGAACUGCUAACAUGCAUUUGGUUGUGGUAAUUCAAUUAUGCGAAGGGUGUCGGUCCGAAUUCUUCAACUUAAACGAACAUGUUUGCGUAAUUAAGUGUUCAAUCACGUACUUAAUUUGCUAUUGAAAACAUUUAGAAUUUAUCAACAAUUUAAUUAAGCAGGUGUAUACAACCUCCCAACAUUUGUAGAUAUCAUUGAAUCAUUAGUUAACACCAAGUAGACUGAGAUCGGAUCAAAAUGUGUCACUUAAGCUCUUAAUAUUACAGAAAACUUACAAUUGCCCUGAUGGUUAAUUAGCACAAAAGACCGGCUUGGAGUUCAGACUAGCCAAAUUGCCCAACUCUUUAAGCCUGAAUUUUAUCACCAUCAUAAAAUGGGAAAAUUAGUUUAGAUAUACAAGGCGAAAUGGAAUUAAUUACCUAACAAUUUGAACUUCAGAUUGGUCAUGCAUGACCACUUGCAGGUCCUCCUAGUGUUAGAACCACACCUUGAAGAUCACUUCUUGGAUCUGAUUCUUUGGCUAAUGAUGGAGCAGCUCUGAUUACCGGAUAUGUUCUGGUCACUUGAGUUUGUCGAGAACUAUGACUGGAUUGUCCUGAGAAUGUUUUUGGAUGAUGAGAAGGCUUCAAGGUAUCAGUAUGAAAUUCAUUCGAAGCACCACCCAGAAACCAGUGCUCAAAAAGCCCCUUUAUAAAGAUAACUAACAGAGAAGGUCACAGACAGCAGAGGAGGUCAGCAUCACCAUCGAUUUCCUUUCUCCAGAAGCAGGGGUUUACCACCACAUCAACACCCAUCUUCCCCGAUCUCUUCAUCUCCUUUAGCACUGAAGAGAAACCGAACGGUGGAGCAGAGAACACAGACAGCAGAGGAGGUCAGCAUCACCAUCGAUUUCCUUUCUCCAGAAGCAGGGGUCUACCGCCACAUCAACACCCAUCUUCCCCGAUCUCUUCAUCUCCUUUAGCUCUGAAGCUUCCUCCAGCAGUGGCCAACACACGGCAGCCCCUACAAAACCAAAAUGAGAUAAAUCUCAAAGAGAAAGAAAGACUCGAACUUGUGUAGCAGAUCUGGACCGAGAUCCAGCCGCCAUCAGCUCUGGCGAUGCCUAACAACCAGAUGUGCUACAGGGAUGAACUCUCGGGCAACAAACAGUGAUAGACUCGAAAGAAGCCAAUCUAAAGGAGGAGAAGGAAAAAAACGCAGAUCUGUGAAAAAAAGACAAUAAUCGAAACUCAAUUAAGAAGAAAUCAUCGCACAAACAAUCUCCCGGACCGGUUGUUGAUUUGGAUCCUUUCCCAAUUGAGGAUGGAAGACUACGGGAAAGAGGAGAUUGGUUGGGGUGGGGAUUGAAGCUGUGAUUUGGGAUCGGUUCAGUUUAUCAAGCAGACUUCAAGAGGUAAGACCCUAUACAAUAACAGUAACAACAAAGAGAACUUUUCAACCCAGCCAUGGAGGGGAAAGCUCUCUCUCAAAAAGCCCAGCCACCGUUCCAGACAAACUUAAUUCCUUCUCACAAACACAAAAAAGAACUUGACCUUCCAUACAAGCCAUAUUACCCCCAGCCUCAGCUACCAUCCAUCACCUUAAACACUCAGACUUCAACAAACUACCGUGAUUUUCAACUACAAUGUUACUUUGAAAACUUCCUAAGUUGGGUCGAUUACCAUAAGCUUAAAGACUGCUUCAGAAAACAGGGGAAAGUUAUUAAGCUGUUUGUUUCUCGAAAAACAAAUCAAGCAGGAAAGCAUUUUGGCUUCGUCACCAUCCUCUCGAAUCUGUCAGACAAAACUCUGCUAGAAUGCUUAAAUGACAUAUGGUUUGAUUCCUACAAGCUGAGAGUUAAUGUGGCUAAGCACAGAAGAAAAGAUGUAGUGACGAAACAGAAAAUAAUGGGAACCGGGAAACAAAUACCCAAGCUCAACAACAAAGCCAAGGCCCCCAUCCGUGUAAGAGACAACCGAAGCUAUCUUGAGGCAGUAAGAUCAGGGAGUCAAGUGCAUCAAGCGUCUGAUAAUGCCACACCACGUCAUCAUAACUUCAUUUCUUUCAACACUACAGAUGAGGAAAUUCUAUGGUUAAGAAAUAGUCUUAUAGGCAAGAUAUCUCAGGGAGUAGAUUAUGCACAAAUCAGACAUGGAUUAAUUCAGCUAGGCAUUUGCUUCUCUGCUUUCCGUUUCCUAGGGGGAUCACAGGCAAUCAUAAGCUUUGAUGGUGAGAAAUCUAUGCAACAAGCCAUGCAGAAAGGUAUGGAAUGCUGGAGGCUCUACUUUGAUGAAGUUCACCCGUGGACUGAAGAAGAUGUGACAGAGAGUCGUCUAGCAUGGAUCUCUAUCUCUCAUUUGCCUAUCUCUGGCUGGAGUUUGAGAUGUAUCUCAAACCUUCUCAUGAACCGUGGACGGGUGAUAGGUUUUGACAAAACCAGCCUAAAAAUCUCUGAACUUCACAGUGUGAAAAUCCUUAUAGGUACUCACUUGCCGGAGAUCCACGACUCUAUAGCUCUCAUGCUAAACUCCAAGUUAGUACACAUAUAGCUGGAUGAGAUUGACCUUUUAAGAUAUCCAGAGGCAAAAGGAAUUUCAUACUCGAUGGCAGAAUUUCAAACCACAUUACUUCAGGGAGAUAGUGCUGACAGUGACUCAGAUGAUGAAGUGUACACUGAUCUUGCUUUUGACUUGGCAGGAGAUGACAACAUUUGCAGGCUAGGUAUCACUGAUAAGAAUUGUGGAUCUGAUGACAAGGGACACACGAUGGAGGUAAGGAAGCACAACCCAUAUGGGACACAUGAGGUGUACGAUCAUAGCUUUGCGUCCACAAUAAAUGCCAUUGACAACACAGAACGGCUACAUAUCGUUGUUGACGAUCUCUUUUACGAUGUGAAUUCAGCAAGCCCACUAGAGCAUCCAAGCAUGGCUUUCAAAAGAGACUCCUUCUUGCCACAACCUUAUACCCCUGUUAGCAGUGAUGAUUCUUUAGAAUCCCACUUCAAAAUCCAAAGCCUACCUCUUACAUCUAACCAACAACAGACCCCAACAGCCAAACAACCAAGACUAAAGAAAAUAUCCUCUACUAGGAGUCUCCUCUCCUUGCACUCUUCAGCAAGCAUGUCUUCUAUAGACUCUUACAUCAGGGUGAAUAAUACCCGUAACCUGAAAGAAUAUGCAGCGGAAUCGUCCCACAAUGAAGUCAACAAAAUGAUCCGUUUGGGAGAAGCUUUGGGUCUUGGUAAUUCAGCUCUCUUGGAACAAUUUUCUGGUCUUAUCAUAAGACAGCUAGAAAAGGAGAAGGAAGAUUGGCAGAAACAACAAUGAAUAGUAAGUUUUCAUCCCCUGCAGAUAGGCCUUUUAAUUCUGUCAUGAAUAUUCUUUCUUGGAAUUCCUGUGGCUUGGGCAUGAUGAGGAAACGAAGAAGAAUCACGAAAUUAAUAGCAGAAUAUAAGAUUGAUAUAUGUUUCAUGCUGGAAACUAAGCUAGCUAAUUGUUCCAUUGGUUUUGUAUCUCGUAUUUGGAAUGAAAAUCAUGUGAGUUGGUUUAGUAAUGAUGCUCAAGGAUCAAAAGGAGGUCUGCUUGCUAUGUGGAAAAACACUAACUUUGAAGUCUCUAAUAUUGAAUAUGGUCAUGGUUGGAUCGGUUUAUAUGGUAAACAUGUUCACAGUGAUUUUCAUUGCUUUGUUAUUGGCAUCUAUGCUCCUUGUAACUAUCAGGACAGACAAAAACUUUGGGAGGAUCUCAUUCUUCUGAAGCAUGCUUUUGAAGUUCCAUGGAUAAUAGCAGGAGAUUUUAAUGAAACGCUCUCUCAGAAAGACAGAAACAGUGGAAUUUGUCAUCCUGCAGGCUCAAAUUCUUUUAGCAGAUUCCUGCAGUCUUGUGAGCUCACUGAAUACCCUUUAGCAGAAGGUUAUUUUACCUGGUUUAGAGGAAGGUCCAAGAGCAAACUAGAUCGAAUGUUCGCAAGCUCAACCUACCAUCUUCACUUCCCCAGUUUAUCUCUUCGACGACUUCCAAGAGAGUUCUCAGAUCAUUGCCCUCUAAUUCUAUGUAGCUUCUUGCAAGACCAUGGAUGGCGUCCUUUUCGUUUCUUGGACUGUUGGACUCAAUACCCAAAUUUCAAGCACAUUAUUGAAAGCUUCUGGAAUGAUGCAUGCUCCCUUCACCCUGGCCGCUUUAAAUUUCUCAAAAAGCUUAAUCAUAUUGCAGUCAAAUUGAGGCAAUGGAAUAAGCUUGUAUUUGGAAAUCAAGAAGCUGGCCUUCAACGAACCCUUUCAGCUAUCAACAUACUAGAGGAAAAAUGUGAAGAAGAAGGUUUAACCGACCAAGAGCAGGAGCAUUUAGACUUUUUGUUGAAAGACCGCUGGGUUCGCAACAAUCACAUUGAAUCUAUUUGGAGGCAGAAAUCAAGACAGAUGUGGUGCAAAUUGGGUGACAGAAAUAACAAGUUUUUUCACAUGAUUGCCAAUUUCAGGAAGGCUAAAUCAUCAAUACUUAAAAUCCACCAUAAUGGCAACACUUUUGACUCUCAGCAGGGAAUUAAGCAGGCUGCUGUGGAUUAUUUCUCUGAGCUGUAUGACUCUCCCUCUGGUAAAAAGCCGCAGUUAAAUCCUUUGGGUUUCAAAUGUCUCUCUAAAGAAUCCUCUGAAUGGUUGGAGCAAGAAAUCACAAUGGAAGAAGUGAAGCGCGGUGUAUGGGGUUGUGAUGGGUCAAAAUGUCCUGGACCAGAUGGUUUCAACUUCAAAUUCUACAGAUUAGCAUGGGAUUUUAUUGCUCAAGACAUUCUCGAUAUAGUCUUAAGCUUCUUCAGAACAGGAAGGCUUCCCAAAGGAAUCAAUACAACCUACGUAACUCUCCUCUCUAAGACAGUCGAACCCAUUGAGUUUAAAGAUUUUCGGCCCAUCAGCAUGAUUCAUGGUAUUUAUAAGAUCAUUGCUAAAAUCCUUGCUUCUAGACUGAAAGUUGUUAUGCAAGAUAUCAUUAGCAUUAACCAAUCAACGUUUAUAGCAGACCGUAACAUUAUAGAUGGCUUUAUGAUUGCAAAUGAGCUGGUGAAUGAUCUAAAAAAGCAAAAAGCGGCAGGUUUGAUUUUCAAGAUUGAUUUUCAUAAAGCUUUCGACUCAGUCUCCUGGGAUUACCUAGAUGAUAUCAUGGGUUAUAUGGGGUUUGGUAGAAAAUGGAGAACCAUGAUUUAUGAAUGUCUUUCUUCAUCAAAACUCUCGGUUUUCAUCAAUGGAUCUCUUUCAAAAGAAUUCUCUGUUCGGCGAGGGCUGCGUCAAGGAGAUCCGAUUUCCCCUUUUCUGUUUGACAUAGCUGCUGAGGGCCUCUCUGUACUCUUUCAAAGGGCAUCUAGUGGGAAUAUUAUCAAAGGGCUGCAAUUUGCAUUAGGAAUUUUUGUCAGCCAUCUUCAAUAUGCAGAUGACACAUUAAUAUUCAUCCCAGCAGAUAUUGAUCAGUUAGUUCAAGUCAAAAGAAUUUUAAGAUGGUUUGCUCUGUCUUCAGGCCUUCAUAUAAACUUCCAUAAAAGAUCCAUUAUUGGUAUCAAUGUCGAUGAUCACUUGUGCUUGCGCUUGGCUACAUCUAUUUUCUGCAGAUCAGACUCCCUCCCAAGCAAAUAUCUUGGCAUGCCAUUAGGAGCCAAUCCAUCUCGUAUCUCCACAUGGAAGCCAGUGAUAGAGAAGUUUCGUAAAAGGCUUCAUAUAUGGAAGGGGAGACUACUAAGCAUGGCUGGUCGUCUAUGUCUCAUUAAAAGUGUCCUUAAUUCCCUGCCUAUAUAUUUUAUGUCUGUAUUCAAGAUGCCAAAAGGGGUAGGCAGGCUUCUUUCAUCCAUCCAAAGACGUUUCUUGUGGUGUGGAUGUACCAAGCAAAGAUCUUUCUGCAAGAUCCAAUGGAGAAUAGUGAUGCGCGAUAAGAAACAAGGAGGCCUCGGUGUAGGCUCCCUUAUAUCAAAAAACAGAGCCCUGCUUCUAAAAUGGAUUUGGAGACUCUCUUCCCCAGGUACAAGCUUAUGGAAAAUGAUUAUCUCUUCAAUGUACAAUCCAUCUUAUGAGAAUGGGAUCCCAAUUUUCUACAACCAACCAUCCAAGAUAUGGAAGGAUAUUAUGUCCAUCGUUCAAACCGACGUUCACCAAGUCUUCACGAAUCAUUGCAAAUUCAUGGUGGGGAAUGGCAAUUUAACAUCCUUUUGGCUAGACAGCUGGAUUGGUGACGACCCUCUCAAAACAGCCUUCCCAAGGCUAUAUCUUUUGUCUUCCUCUAAAACUGCUUUGGUGGCUGACAUGGGUAGAUGGAGCAAUGGAAUCUGGCUCUGGUCCCUACAAUGGCGCAGACCUCUUUUUCAUUUUGAACAAGAACAACUAUCACUUUUAUCAUCCUUGCUGGAAUCCAAGCCAAUGUUCUGCCACAAGAUGGAUAAGAAAAUCUGGACCCUCAACAACGAUGGCCUCUUCAGUGUAAAAUCUUGCUCCAAAAUGAUGGACCAGUUACUCUACGGUGGAGCCAAACCAUUCCAAUCUUCUGUUUGGAUAAAACUAACCCCACCAAAAGUGCAGCUUUUCCUUUGGCUCCUUGUCCAAGACAAAGUAACCACAAGAGAUUUCCUAUUUCAACGCGACUACCUCUCCCUUCAGGAGUCAAGAUGUGCUUUCUGCAAUAAAAGCUUGGAAUCUUCAAGUCACCUCUUCAUUCACUGCCACUUCUCUUGGAAUAUAUGGAUGAAACUGUUUUCUAAUCGGGGCUUUUGCAGUGUUUUUCCAAAAUCUGUUGAUGAUAUGUGCUACCAAUGGUCUUCUAUGGUUAAAGGCAAGCAACAAAAUCUCUCAUGGCAACUUCUUUUCUCAUGCGUUGUUUGGAAUCUUUGGCUUCAUCGAAAUGAUGUUAUUUUUAAUGACGCUGCCCCUAACCAUCAAAUCUGUUUCUCCAUGGUGCGCCAAAGUAUUGCUUUAUGGUUGAGGCUUGACUCCAACUCUUUCGAGCUUAACAUAGAGAAUGUUUAGUCGGGAGGAGUUGGUUUCUUUUGAUUUGUCUGUUCUCCUUUUGUUGUUAUCCCCUGUUUCAUGAAACAGUUUUUGUGCUUCCCUUUCCUCUGCUUGUUCUUCUGAUGUAAGUUAGGCUACUAUCUUUGUAGCUUUUUCCUUUUAAUAAAAUUUCGACUAUUAACAAAAAAAAAAAAAAAAGGUAUCAGUAUGAUUGGAGUUUGGAAAUUGAUGAACAAUGGGGAUUGGAGUUGCUGGUGAUGCAUGAUUUUGAGCUAGAAUUGCCCCUCUCGAUACGAAACCAGGUGCCUGAUAGAUAAAAUUAGGUUUCAAUACGAGUUCGAAAUAUACUGCAAAUGAGGGAAGUAAUGAGGAGCUUACAGGUGAAAACAAGACCCCUCUGAAAAUCUUCCCAUUAACAGUUGCAGUCAUUAGAAGGCCUAAGUCGAAGGCUCCGUCAACUUUACCUCGAACUUCAGCACCAACCUAUGGAGAAAGAGAAGAAAGUGAAAAGCAAGUAUUAGCAGAACAGGAAGGAAGACAGACAAAAAAAUUUGUAAUUGACAAUGUUUUGCAUUGCAUAUAUCAACUUAAUGAUUUACCAGGUUUUGAGUACACCCUGGCUCCAUGGAUCUAUGUUCCACUGCUGGGAAUGGUGUUCCUUGCCUGCCAAACCCUGCAUGAACAUAUUGUUCUACUCUUUUAUUCUCUUGAAACUUGGAGCCUGUGCCGGGUUUUUUGGAUCACAAGUCUAGGUAGUUUCUGAUUACAUGCAACACUAUCAGCCUGGUAAUUUCUUGGAAUUUUGUAUAAUUAAAUAAUCUAAUCUUAAACCACUACUCCAAUUGUUGAUAUAAAAGUUUAAAACCGAUCUAAUUAAAAGAAUUCAAAAUUAAGUGUGAAAAAUAACUAAAAUAAAAAAUUAAUUCAAAUAACAAAAACAAAAUCUUUUGCAUCUGAUUUGAGAAAAUUUAUGUGGUGGAUGACCGAGCCUGUAAAAUUAUAUGAUAAAAUUUAAGUAUAAUUUAAAAAUUAAAUUUAAAAUUAUUUUUAUCAGGUUUUAUGUCUAAUGUGUUGAAUUUGUUUAUGGAUUUCUAUUCAGGCUUAAUCAUAAACGUCUUUGUUUACACGUCAUAAUUAAAGCAUAAAAUGUCGUGUAAGCCGAUGCUUGACUUUUUUAAAAAAUAAUUUAGUUUCGGUUGACUCACAAAAUUGAGACAUCUAGCUAGUCACUCAUGGCUUUAGACGUACCUCUUGUAAAGAUAUCAACGGCUUUACGUCUACCAAGUGUCAGAAGAUUAGAGAUUGAUAUUGUUAGAAUGUUGUUAAUAUUGUUUGUUAGCUAAGAGAGUUUGUUAGUAUUGUUUCAGUGCUAAGAGAAAGAACAGAUACCGUGUAUUACCUUUCUAAUAUAGCCUAUAUAAACUGAGGAUUAGUGAUGUGAAAAUAAUGAAAGAAAAAGUAAUAAUAAAACAGUGCGAGACUUCAUCUUCUGCUUCUCUGUAACAGAAUUAUUCUAUAUUCUUCUUCCUUUCUAUUCUCUGCACUUUCUUCAUUUCUGCUCCUUUUCUGUAUAAAUUCUACCGUCUAUCAUGGUAUCAGAGCAGUAACUGGUCCGAUGGGAUGUCUUCUGAUUGUCAAGAAUUAUACUGGCGAUCGUCUAAAUUUUGGUUUGGCUGCUAAGCAAGCAAAAUCUGAAGGUUAUAAAGUAGAGACUGUAAUUGUUGGAGAUGACUGUGCUUUACCUUCACCUCGAGGCAUAGCUGGACGAAGAGGGUUGACGGGGACUAUUCUUGUUCAUAAGGUUGCUGCAGCUGCAGUUACUGUUGGCCUUUCUCUUGAUGAAGUUGCUGCAGAAGCGAAACGUGCAUCUGAAAUGGUUCUAAUAUCUUGCUAAUCUCUGUUUCUGUAGAGAGAGCAAUACGGUCUCUUAAGAUUCAUACUUCUCAACAAGCUUGCACAAAGAGUCACUAAAUUGCUUUUGGCCACUUGCCAGAGCAAGUACGAUAGUCUUCUCCAUCAAAUCCUGAAGAAGAUCAAUAUAUAACAAAGAGUCGCCGCCAAUGUAUUACCAGCAGCCAUUAAUCUCUGUUUCUGGCAUUAUUAUCUCCUUAUCUACACAAUUCUUUCAUAAUAAUCGAUAUGUCUAUCAUUUGUUUGAUAUAUUGUCAAACUGAAAAAUUCUUCUUCAAAUCUUCAACUUUCUGCAAGAUUCUUCCUUCUCAAUCUUUGAUUCUCUUCUUUUCUAUCUCUUGCACUCUAAAAAUGGCGACUACUUCUCAACUUCAGAUAGUUCAACUCUAAUAAGAGAAUAUACACAUAAACGUUUUCUUCUUCCUCUACACUACAUAAUUUCUCUCUGCUUCUCUUCAUCUCUAUUCUCUGCUUUUCUUCUCUUCAUCUAUAUUGCUUCUAUUCUCUGCUUUUCUAUUGCAGUAUCUCCCUCUAAUUCUAUUCACUUCUUUGUUCAUCUCUGUGACGAUUCUUGCUAGCUUUUCAAAAUAUUUCUUCUAUCUCCAUUGCUUCCAAUCCAGUGUUCCAUUCCAGGAUGAAACAUCUCCAGAUCGAUUAUCACUUUGUUAGGGAACGGGUUAUCAAGGGUGAUUUACUGGUCCAGCAUGUCUUCUCUACUGAUCAGUUUGCUGAUAUCCUCAUCAAAGGUCUUUCCAUUUCUUUGUUUCAGCAUCAUUGUUCCAAUCUCAUGCUUGGCUCCUCCAAGCCUGCGAUUGAGGGGGCAUGUAAAGAUAUCAACGGCUUUACGUCUACCAAGUGUCAGAAGAUUAGAGAUUGAUAUUGUUAGAAUGUUGUUAAUAUUGUUUGUUAGCUAAGAGAGUUUGUUAGUAUUGUUUCAGUGCUAAGAGAAAGAACAGAUACCGUGUAUUACCUUUCUAAUAUAGCCUAUAUAAACUGAGGAUUAGUGAUGUGAAAAUAAUGAAAGAAAAAGUAAUAAUAAAACAGUGCGAGACUUCAUCUUCUGCUUCUCUGUAACAGAAUUAUUCUAUAUUCUUCUUCCUUUCUAUUCUCUGCACUUUCUUCAUUUCUGCUCCUUUUCUGUAUAAAUUCUACCGUCUAUCACCUCUAACUUCGCUUACUAUGCUUAUUAUGCAAAGCAAUUAUUUUCAAGCUUGUGGAACGGGGUGUUCCUCCAUCUUCUUGUUUAACUGCUUUCUUCAUAAACUUGGGAAGUCAUGUGUUAUGAACAAUUGAUUUGAUCUUGUGAAAUAUAUGGCAGAAGAGAUUAGAAAAUGACUUCUAUUAUCAAUAAUUUCUUCUUCCUUGUGAAAUGAUUUCCCGAUACAGCUCUUAAUUUCAACACCUGCUUGCUCUUCUUUUCUUAGUAGACCUGGGAAGCAAAGAUUCCUAAUUAUCCACAUCAUCAAUCGCGAUCCCAUCAAAAAUGAAUUUGGUGGAAGAAAGAAAAACAAAUUGAAAGAAAAAUUAUCAAUUAAGAUUUCAUGUCGUCACAAAAAACAAUUACGAGCUUCAUAAGAUAAUUUUAGCUAGUUUGUCUUAAACUCAUUAGAACAUCCUUUAAUCUUCAACUGCUGUCAUUUGAGAUUUCAUGUUUGUGUUUUCAAUUAAGAUUACACAUCCAUUUGUCAGAAAUACGCACCAAUAUUCCUUAUUACCUAACCUUAAUCCUGUAAUUCUGAUUCUGAACUGCUCUUUACACUCCUUUUCCAUCGAUCAAUACAGAUCAAUCUUUAUUAUUUGCUCCAGGUUGCUGCUGCUGGUUACUCUGUCAUGGAUUAUUAUUUUUCAGUAGUCAGUUAUCCUAGUGCUUGCUUGGACAUGCUCAACAAUGGAGUUUCUCUAAAUGUAAUUCCCACAGUGAAAUCUUCUGUCAAAGUCAUUUCAAGCCGGAAAAGAUCAGGAAAAUGCAGUCUUGAAACAUCAAGCGAAUAGUGCCCAGCAGGAAAAAUUCGUUUCUACUAACAAAUGGAAUGUAAAGUUGAUCCAAGGAUGCUACUAACUUACAAGAAAUUAAAUCAUCAAAGAAAAAAUAUCCACUAGAAGAAGUGUUCUUUCCUUCUAUUUAAAAAGAAUUCGAAAUUUUACUAGACCCUAAUAACAUGAAGUAAAUCUGUUUUUUUUACUCUUGGCUUGUUCUCAAAAAUUUUAUUGAUAUUAAUUAAAUAACAAAGACAAUGAUGUAGCUAGUAUGAACUAUGAAAAUUGAGAACGAGAGGGAUGAUCAGGAAUGGAUUAAGAAAAAUGGGCUUGAAAGAGACCCAACAGGAGAGAAAAAUCUAAAAUAAACUCUUGAUGUCUUUCAUAACUCAAUUUUUGACUCUUUUUAUUUUAUUAUUAUUACUAUUAUUUUAUUUAUUGAAAAAUGAUAAUAAAAAAAAUAAUGAUGAAAAGAAAAUAAAAAAUGAAGAAUAAAUUAAAAUUAGGUUAAGGCAACAUGAUUGGAAGUUUUGGGGAUUAAUUAAAGUUUGGAAUUAAUUCAAUCAAGGGUUUAAUUGGAGAAUUGAUAAGUUUUGAGAUUAAUUGAGUUUGGAAUUAAUUGAAUUAAUGAAAAUCAAGGAUUUAAUUAGAGAAUUGACAAGUUGUUAGACUUAUUUGAACUUGGAAUUAAUUUAUUCAUGGACUUAAUUGAAAAACCAUCAAAGUAUAGGGCUGAUUAUGGUCAAAUUUGCAAGAAAUUAAAACCCAAGGACCAAUGUGUAAAUGGCGCUGAGAUUCAGGGGUUCAAUUACAAUUUACCCAAGGACUGGACUGCAAAAAGUCAACAUGUCUAGGAUGAAAACGCAAAAGGCCAUUAACAUCAGCACUGUUCAUCUUCUUCACCCGAAAACGCAUGCCUUUAUUGCAUUAAAAUCCAUGCAACCGCAUGGCAUUCUCUGGUUAUAAAAACCAGAGAAGGAGAACGAGCACCAGGUUAGAGAGGGGGAGAGGAGAAAAUAAACAGACUUUCAUUCCUCUGUUUCUUCUUAAGGAAACAGAGGAGGUUAAAGAAAAAAGCAACAAACAGGAGGAAAAAAGAGCAAAACCGGGGGGAAAAAGGGAGAGAAGACAGAGAGAGUGAGCGACCGAAAAGGGGAAAACAAAAGGAAAAACUGAGAGACAGGGGAGAAAAGGCAGAACCGAGGGGACUAAAGGGGGGGAAUAAAAGAAGAAAACAGAGGAGACAAAAACCGGGGAGAGGGGGAGACACAGAAUCAGUUUCAACCAUCUCUUCACCAUCUUCAACAACUCUUCAGCCUCCAGGAACCCAGACAGGAGAAGAAACCCCAUCGACUUGCUUUGGGAAGACGCAGAGUUACAGAAUAGAGAGCGGAGAAGCAUACGAAAAAAAGAGGGGGGCAAGCUUCCAUUCAACCGACAGCACCUAGCAUCUUCAUCACCAUCGUUGAUGUCCUGAGCAGAGGAAACACAGAAGGAAGACCAAGGAAAGCAGUAGACAAGAGUCACCACCAGCGUCACCACUGUUUUUGUCGCCUCCAGAAGCAGCAGCUUCAGAUCUCCAUCUUCAGUAGCCACUGCACCAGAAACAGGGCACUCCAGGAGAGAAAUACAGGGAAGAACCGGGGAAGAAAAGGAGAAAGAGAAGGAAGAAGAGAGGAAGAACAAGAGGUGGCAGCGCCGUUCGUCCAGCGCAGUGCGCCAUCGUCUCCGGCUACGCCUUGCUGCACCAGGUAAGUCUUCUCUCGUCUCUCCCCUCCUGCGUUAUAUUUCACUUGCCACUCUAGCAAGUGAAUUAUAAUUAAUUCACUACCCAACCGGGUCACUGGCUUCGGCCAGUGACCAGACCAGGAAUGUUGGGUCUACCUAGCCAUGUAGGCUGGAUCAGACCCAGCCCCACAAAAAAAAUAAAAAAAAUAAAAAAAAAAACAAAAAAAAACUAGAAAGUGUAGAAAUAAAAAUUUUACAUGUCUUAGGAAAAAUGUAUUUUUGUCAAUUUAUUCACUGAUAUUAGGAUCAGAAAUAAAAAAAAAUAUAUACUGAUUUUUUUUUAGCUAUGAAUUUCUACACCAGAGUUGGAAUUAUUCAUGGUGGAAUUUUUACCAACGCUAGAUUUGGAAUUAUUCGUGGUGGAAUUUUUAAACUCUAGAGUUGGAAUUAUUUGGGGUAGAAUUUUUACCAACACCAGAGUUGGAAUUAUUUGAAAUCGAAUAUUCACUGACACUAAAGUCAGGAAUAUUAUAAACAAAUCAUCAUAGCAUAAGCGAAUAAAUGUUUAGUAAUUUAAGACAAAACCAGCAAUGCAGUCUGCCUCAGGCAGAACAUUUAAAGGGUGAUAAUAUCUUCCCUUUUACAUAACCAAUCCCGAACCAUAGAAUCUCUGUUGACUAGUUAGGGUUUCUAGUGGCGACUCCUUAAACAAGAUUUUUUUCCCCUAAAAGAACAAGAUGCCAGAAAUCUAUUUUUUAUUCUUUUUCCAUAAUGAAGAUUAUUUUUAGAGCCGCCGGGUGCGACAAUGUUUAAAAUAGCCUAGAAGUAGGGCUUAGAUAGCUAGGGCUGAGAAAAUUGCCAAAAUAGGUAAAUACUGAUUAUUCAAUAAAUAAAUAAAAUAUUGCCUUGUUUUAAGUUUAGACUUAUGUUCUUUCAGCAAACAAAAUUAUUGUAGAACCACAUUCCACCUUGCUGGUAUGAUCCUGUGGUUCUAUCAAUUAUUUUAUUAAUUGAGAAAAUACUGUAAACUAUUACAAUUGUGAAUAAAUUCCAUAUUAUUAGGGAUAUAGUAAUCACAAGAAGCCAAGAAAUCUAAGAGCAAAACGCAACAUAAUUAAGACAUAACAAACAAAUAUGGAUACAAGCACAAGAACAAACACAAGUCACAUCAAAACAGAAAGGCUAAGCAACAAGAACCGGACACUUCGACAGAACACUUCUCACAGGCAAAUUGCUAAACAUGCAGUGAUCAACCCUUGAUUUGGAAUGCGACUGCAUCCCCAUAGAGGAUCACAACAAAUUCAGAAAGCAGCCCACACGCUGAUAAGACCCAAUCACCUUUUGAAUCUGGACAACUUGCGAAAGUUUAUAGCCAAAAAGCAGUAGCAAGUGUCAAUGCACUCUUCAAUGAAGUAAAACCACCUGCGUCGCCAAUGCGGAUUUAUGCACAGUACUGCUGCAAUUGUCAACACCACAAUUAUGUAAAACACACCAAAGCUGGCAUAGAAACUGUCCAUGUCUAUUAAUCCAUCAUCUCCAUUGGAAUUGUUAGGCACUCUCACUGAUGGUGAUUCUGUUUUGUCGCAACUGUUUUGCAAUGGAGGUCCACAAAGAAGAGGAUUCCCUUUAUAACUGCUCUCAUCAAAGGUAGCAAAUUGAUAUUUCAUCUCCGGUGUUCUUCCUGACAAAUUAUUGUACGACACGUUGAAAACUGCUAGAAAGUUCAGUUCAACGAGUUGUGCAGGAAUUCUCCCAUUCAAGUUGUUGUGAGAAAGAUCCAAGCUCUCUACGUGCUUCAGAUUGGAGAAAGAUGAAGGGAUCAAUCCCGUGAGAUUAUUUUGUGACAGAUUUAGAGCGAAUAUGUCACUUAAGUUUCCCCAUUCUGUCGGGAUUUCUCCAGUGAAUCUAUUACAAGACAGAUCCAUAGCAGACAUGUAACGAAGGAUAUCGCCCUCGUAAGUGUAGAAAUUUUUCUUUGCUGUAAGCUCUACAGCUAUUUUUACAUCAAUCUCUGGCCACAUAGUUUUGCUAUCAAUAUGAAAACCUCUGUUACCCAAUUUUCUCCCCCCUAUGGAUGCCAAUAUUUCUUUCUGGCUUCCAUCAUCUUCUGACACCGUAUCUGUGACGACCAAAGUUUUUUCACCCGAUGCCGUAAAAUUUAAAUUGCUUAAACAUAAGGGUAACGGACCAGAAAAAUUAUUUUCUGAAAGAUCCAAUAUGCUUAAUUUCCUUAACAAGCAUACCUGAACAGGAAGUUCCCCAUUGAAUUGAUUAGAUUUCAGAAGAAGAAUGCUCAAUUUCGAUAGUCUAUCAAUCCAAUUUGGAAUUGGCCCAGUUAAGUUGUUAUUGCCAAGAUCUAAUGUCACCAAAUGAGAGCUAUUAUAAAAAGCAUUUGGCAGUGGACCACUCAAUCGAUUUCUGUAUAGGUGGACAUAGCGUAAAUAUGGUGUUUGGAAGCCCAACGACAAUGACCCAGACAGAUUGUUUUCAGAAAGAUCUAAAAAUUCAAGCAAAUAACAUCUGAAAAGCUCUAUUGGAAUGGUACCUUCAAAAUGAUUUCUGGACAAGUCAAUUCCCUGCAAGAAUAUUGAAGAGUUCCCAAUUCCCUUUGGAAGCGUGCCUGACAAAAGAUUGUUACUGAUAUCAACCAACCAAAGUGAUGAUGCAAGAGAAAAGGUGCCAGAUACUUGUCCAACAAAUUUGUUUCCAUCUAGAAAGAGGUAACGCAGGUGAGUCAUGUUGAAAACAAAAGGCGGUAAUCGCCCUUUGAAAUUGUUAUUGGACAGCUUCAAAAACCACAACGAGGAGCCUCCUGUAGGCAAGUUAUGCUCAAGUAGUUCACAAGUCAUAUGAUUGUUGGAAACAUCCAAGUAUGCGAGAGAGCUCAUAUUCCCAAAAGGAGGAAUGCAACCUGUAAGGUUGUUGUUAGCCAUCAAGAAGUUCUUCAAACGUGGAAAAAUCAAACAUGUGUUUCUUGCAAUUUGACCAUGGAUGUUGUUGUCAGAAAUAUCUACUGUCCGAAGGUUGGGUGUUGGAUGUUGUGGCAACUGCAAAGGACCUGUAAUUGAGGUGUCUCUCAAAUAUAAUCGAUUUAACAUUCUAUUAUUCUCAACCAGCCAUGAUGGGAAAGGUUGUCCAAUGAAUUUGUUGUGGGAUAGAUCAACAAACAUCAAAUCAUAUUGGCUAUGGAGGAAGUUUGGAAAUCCAGCCUUGAGUGGUUUUGAAGUACAGUUUGAAGCACUGAAAAAACGAAGCUGGAACUUGGUAGCUGAAGGCUGAAAACUGGGUGCAGGUAUUAGCUCAUUGUUAUCGCAUGCAAUGAACUUGAGGUUGGAGUGGUUCAUAAAUGAACCAAAAGAUAUUGGAACUUGAAAGUAAUUAUUUGAAACUGAGAGGUAUUCAAGCUGCGUAAGAUGGGAGAGGUGACUAAAGGCAAUAUUUCCCUCCAAUUGAUUGUCAGAUAAAUCCAAGAAUUGUAGAAAUGAUAGAUUUCCAAGACAAGGAGGGAGCAAGCCCGUUAGUUUGUUUCCUGAGAGAAAUAGCUGUUCAAGAUUCGUCAGUUCACACCAGCCUGCACAUUAUAUCCAUAUGUUCAUGUCAAGGGAAUAGGAAUAUAUCAAUUAUGUACUAUUCGUUGAGAGAUCUAUUCGAAUACAAGUUUAUUAGCGAUUUAAUUUACCUUGGUGAGGCAGGGUGCCAUUUAGCAUACAGCUUUCCAGAGACAAAAUUCUGAGAGCAGGAAACGGUCCAAUAUUUAGAAGAAAACUUGCUGUCAUGGGAGAAGCUCGAUCCAGGAAUAGCUCUUCAAGUUUGGUGAAAUUCUGCGGUCCUAAAGGAUUAAGAAAGGUGCGUUCUUAAUAUCAUUUGAGUUGAGAUUGAAGGAAGCGGAAACAUAAAGGGAUUGGGUUAUUAAAAAAAAAUUAUUAUGGGAAAUUAAAAUCAUUUCCGACAUAAAUUUCUAUUUUAUUGAUCCAUAUGUAUAACCAGCUUAUAAAAGGAAAAACGGAGAAAUUUUUGUUGAUAAAAUUACUAAAUAUCGUCAUAAACGUAAUGGUUUAAUAACAUGAAAAUUCUUUUAUUCUUUCAUGGGAAAUUUUUAGAUUCAUCAUUUGACACAUAUUUUUGCUAUCCGAAGAAAGGAGCUUGAGAUUUGAGUGGUUCAUAAAUGAUUCAACUACUUAACAAAACUGGGACUUGAUUGUAAGACACAUCCACCAGUUGUAAUAGAUGACAAGUUUCUCAAACAAGUUGUGAUGAGGGACACGUAUCUACAAGUUUAAACUCAGAAAGAAGUCUGAAUGUGUCAAAUAAUCUUUUAAUUACCUUGAGCAGGUCCGGUGCCAUGGAAGUCAGCUCUGGUCAAGGAUAAAACUUUAAGAGUAGACAAGGGUCCAAUGUUCCGAAGAAAGCUUGUUGGGAGAGAAGAAUAAUCGAGGAACAUUUCUUCAAGGCUAGUCGAAUUACACAAUCCUGUGGAACAGAUAAGAUAAAUCCAUUAAUGAAAGUGAUAUAUAAAUAUCAUGUUUUAGGCUCCAAACUGUAACUGACCUUUACCAGAGUGUAUUCCUUUAAAUUUGCUCCCAGUAGCAUAUAAGCUCUUGAGGGAUGGCAACGCUCCCAAUGACUCUAUCAAAAUGCUUUCCUUGAAGUCAAUUAUUUCCAGAUACAAGAUUUCUAAAUUCCUCAAACCUGUGAUGGAGAGCACAAUUAAUAAUAAUGGCUUUUUUAUUUUUUAUUUUUUAUUUUUUCCUGAUUCCAAGUGGUACAGAUAUGUGUGUUCUACAAUUUGUUUUAUUUAUGUGUUGUCAUCUGGAAUAAUUUGGAGCACUAUCGUAGAAUGAGCAGGGGUGCAUGCAGAGUAAUUGAUCUAGCAGUUUCCGGCUGCUGUGUUCUACAAAUUUUUGUUCUUGACUUUUUGUUUGCUCUAUCUAGUUGGAAGUUUUAGCUCAAAAUUGUUGAUAUAAAUAAUUUCUAAUGUUAAAGAUUAAUAUAUAAUUAUUAUUAGAAACUUACCCAACAAUUUAAGUCUUUGAAUUAAAUUAAUUUUAAUAUGAUAUUAGAAUUUUAAUAACCAAAUGUUUAUGAAUUUAAAUCAUCUCACCUCCAUUCCUUUAAUAUUUUUUAAAAAAUAAUCAGCACUAGCGAAAGGUAUACCAUGUAAGAAUCCAUAACUAUUUCACUUGAAAAAAUAUGUUAAAGGAAUUAAUUAUAUAAAAGCAUUUAUAGGGCUUCAUUCAUCUGCUUGAUGAUUAAUGCACAGCUAAUUAUUAAAAAAGUUAACAAAAUAAUAAAUUAAGCCUCUCUAAGGAAUGUCAUCGAGGUAGGAAUGAUUUACCAUUGAGACCAAUUGAUCCUGUAAACUUAUUUUUUGAUAGAUGUAGAGAUUUGAGAGUUGAAAAACCACCGAGAGAUGAUAAAAUACUAUCGUUAAAUUUAUUGUCACUCAGUUCAAGUUCCUGCAAUUCCCUCAACCCUGAUGCUAGCUCGUGAAAACCUAUAAGAAAAUUGUCAAAAGCAAAAAAAUUAACAAAUAUAUAUAUUUCAACCAUCCAUUAUCCAUAAAAGUUCAAUGAAAUAUAAAUUUAUGUAUUAAUUUUUUAUAUACCAAUUGUUCCUGUGAACCUAUUGUUUGAUAGAUGUAGAGAUUUGAGAGUUGAAAAACCACCGAGAGAUGAUAAAAUGUUGUCGUUAAAUUUAUUGUCACUCAGAUCAAGUUCUUCCAACUUUCUCAACCCUGAAGCUAGUACUUGAAAACCUGAAAGAAAAUUGUCAGAAUAAAAAAGAUUACACCUGAAAUUUAUUUUUCAUUGAACUUUUUUGGAUAUUGGGAUAUUGUAUGAUAUAUAUACCCCAAUAUCCAUAAAAGUUAAAUGUAAAGUUACUUGAAAUAUAACUUGAAGUGUUAACUAAAAACAAUUGAACCUUGAUUCUCUAAGACACCAUCUAAUCGGUUGUCGCUUAAGUGGAGAAUCUCCAAUUCUUUGAAAGGCAGAAACAAAGAUGCAUUGAGAUCCAAGUCUUCGAAUGGAAAAGAACUUACACCUGAAAGAUGAAGUUCGAUCACUCGGUUUGUGGUGCUGUCGCACACAACCCUACCCCAGUUACAGCAAUUAAAAUGCUCUUUAUCCCAACCUUUUGAUAGAGGUAGUAUAGAUAACCCAGCAGUUGCAUGACUGAACCAAGCUUUUAUCUCUAAGAGACUAAUUCUCUCUUCCUCUAAACAACAAUGGCACCGCUCGUUGACGAAGGCCAGUGCCAUGAGCAGCAUCCACACCCACAUUUGCCUCAUCUUCAUAUUGACUCUCCUACUUGACAAAAUACAAUAGCAAUCAAGUUGUCUCUUAUAUACAAUUUUGUCCUCUUCAUGCAUUUGAUCGGACAGUGACAGUUAUCUGUAUCAUUGAAUUAAUUAUCCAAGGUAGACUUGGGCUUAAUUGAAUGGGAGAGUCUUCACGGACAGUGCUAGCCGUGGGCCCGCACCACGGCACAGAUCAACGUGGUUGUUGAUAUAUAUUUUUUUGUUAUACUAUCUUAUUAUUUAAUUCUUUUUUGUUUUUAUGUUUUAUGUUUCCCUGAUCUACUAUUGCAUUUAGUACCUUAACAAUAUGCAUUCAUUGCCAUCUAGAAUUUCAUUCAAUAGAGCGAUUAAUCAAGAAACUUAUUAUUGACUUUCAUUUAAAUUAGAAUACAUGAAUAAUUUAUGAGUUUGAAAAAUGUUAUCCAUCCAUAUUAAUUACACAAAUUUUAAAAUAAAUUGCAAUUAAGUUUUUCCAAACAAAUAUCAUUACAUAAGGAAUACGUACGUACUCAAGACAUAGGAAGCCAAGUUUCCAAGAUAAUCCAUUAUUCAAUUUUGUGAAUGAUGAAACUUUUCAAGAUAAUCCUUAUAUAAUAAGGUUUGAUCAAUUUUUUCGAGAUUGUGUUAUCAUAAAUCACAUAUCGUUUAAGUUUCCAGCUUAUAAUAAUAAUUUACACGAAUUAUUGGUGAGAAAUCUCCAAAAUCAUUUUAAAAAAGACAAAUCUAUAUGUCUUAUAGUGCUAUCUCUUUUUUUGUGUUUUCAAAUGUUUUUGUAUUAUGUGUACAUUAUAUCAUCUCUCAUACACAAAAUAUGAGACAUAAUAUUUUAUUUUUAGGAAAAAUCUAAUAAUCCCAUAAAUGAUCAAAUAUCAAUUUGCUUUCCCUAAAUAAUAUCACAUAUAUUAUUUCAAAAUAGUUUUAGAAAUUUGUUCAAUCAAGUCUGUACUUAAUUUUUCUAGGUUUAUAAUUGUAAUCACGUGUAUCAACUUCACUUUAGUUCUUAAUUUCUAAAACUUAAUUACAAUCAAGUCACAUUUAAUUAAUCAUCUCAUUUUAAUUUUUGAUCAAUGAUUUUUAAUGUGUGUGGCCAAUUGAGUUCUUAACAAGUUGGCUCAAAUAUAAAUAACAAUCAUAAAUAAAAUACAAUUAAACAAUUUAACAAUUUAACUUAUCAUUAAUUUAACAAAUUAAUUAAUUAAUAUUUGAAAAUCAAGUGCAAUAUUUAAUAACAUGUCAUAACCCUCUAAAUAUUAAAAAGGUCAUACAUGUUUUGACUUAACUUUUUAUUGACUAGUUUCUCAAAGUAAUUAUUAUCCCUUUAUUAAGAAUAUUUUAAUUUAGAUAUUAGAGCACAAAGUAUAUAUGUUCUAUCAAAUCAAAUUUAUUAUCAACAUCAUAGUCAUAGAUUAUUUGAAUAAGAUUUGAAACUCUUUACAAAUCUUAUUACACCUUGCACAAUGAUUUCAUAGUCAAUACUAUUUGUCGCACGUGUAUGGCAUCGCGGCGAUCGUCCACCCUCAAGGAAAAAUGUAAUGGACUAUCUGGUAAAUGUGGAGAGACAAGGAAUUCUUGUCACUUAUCAAUGGAAAAUUUAAAUAGGAGUCGCCACCUAGUAUUCUAGUCACUAGGAACCCUAACUGGUCUUAGAGAUCGGAUACGGAGACUGGUUGCGUAAAGGGAAUGUAUUAGCACCCCAAAUACUCCCUACCUAAGGUAAGCUGCAUUGUUUUGUCUAAUAAAAUCUAAAGUCUUGUUGUGGUUUCUAAUUGUCGGUCCGUUUACAGUUUAAGAAAAGUCCUCUGUAAGGAGAUCCUUAUCUUAUCAGGUAAAACCUAAUUAUUUUAAGUUGUCAAAAGAAAAUACCUUUUUAAUAUCGGGAAUACAUUUUACGUAUAAAUUCAUAAUCUUUGAUACUAAAAUCAAACAAAAUAAAAAUUUUUUUUGUUUUUGAAAUUUUGGUCAAUGUUCUCUUCACUUUAAUAAACUGGUUAUUAAAGCCACAAUGCAUGCUAAAUUUUUUUUUUUUCUGGUGUAUGAAAAACACAAUAUGAUUUUUUUAGCUUUUGAGACACUUGUCCAUAUACACAAAAAGAUUUUUUCUUUUUCUCAAUUUUUUUUGUAUUUUGGAAGUUUUAACAAAAAUCGGGUAUUUUAAUAUCGAAUUUGUAUGUUUACGACGCAAAAUACUGACCGAUAUUAAGCAAAACAAAAGACAUAAAUCAAAAGGAGGAAAUCAGAAAAUAUUAAAAAUAUUUUUUUAAAAUGGGCCGGACCCAGCCCAGAUCAAUGGGCUGGGCCGGACCCAGCCCAGAUCAAUGGGCUGGGCCAGACCCGACCCAAAAAACUAAUGGGCUGGUUACUGUGUAUAAGCACAGUAACCAGCCCUUCACUCUUUCCUGCAGAACGUGAAUUAUUCAUGUUUUGCAUGCAAAUACAGGCAGGGACAAGAAGAGGAAAAUGAAUGAGGCAGCAGGAGGUUACCUAGGGUGGCGUCGAGGCGGUGUUGCUGGCAGCGGCAGUGCUACUAUCGUAGUGGUAGUGUUGGUGGCCGGCGGUGCUUCUCCUUUUUCUUCCUCUCCCUCCUUUGUUUUUUUUUUAUUAUUAUUUCUUUUUCUUUCCUUUUCUCCUCCUCUUUUCUGCUAUGUCUUGUCUCAUCUCUUCUCUUCUCUCUUAUGUUCCUCUAUUUUAUUUUUUUCUUCCCUCCCCUCUGUUUUUUGUUCUUUUUUCGGGUCUGUUUUUCUUCUUCUCUUUCUCUCUUCUUCCUUCUUUUUCUCUGCUCUUUUCAGUCCUCUUGCCUAUCUGCUCUCUUGUCUCUCUUUCUCUCUCUCAGUUUCCCCACCUUUCAUCAUGCUCUCCCCCUCUGUAUUUAUAGGUGAAAACAAAGGGGGGGGGGAGAGGUCGAGGUGGCCACUGUGUUGCCACCCCAAACCGCCCAAGGGGUACGUCCCCUCCAUUCUUCCACCACGUGGCAAGCAAAUGGGUUGUAUCGGCAUCUUUUUUAGCUUUAAGAGAGAGAGGGAGCUAGUGAAAACAGGGGAAUAAAACCUUCUUCUUCCCCUAAUUUCUACACAUCGAAGGGAAGAAAGGUUGUAUCGUUCAAAAAGGCACCAUUUUGGGCUUUCUCUCUUUCUUUGUUUUUAUGAACAGUAUAUGAAACGACGCUGUUUUGGUCAAAAUGCGUCAUUUUAUUUAAAUGGAUUUUGGUGCCAAAACGUGUCAAAUUCAAAAUCAGGCCUUCAAUUUGCAUGUGUUUUACAAUUUAGUCCUUGGUCUCGGAUUUCUUCAAUUAAGUCCCUAAUUGGCCAUCAAACUUCAAUAUUUAUGCAAUUAAGCCCCUAAUUUGACCAAAUUAAAUCUUAAAAAUUAUAUUUUGACCCCAAAACUUUAAUUUAUUUCAAUCAAGCCAAAUUAACUCCAAAAUUAAUUUUUCUUGCAAUCAAAACCUCCAUAAAUUCAAUUAAACCUUUAAGAAAAUUUAAUUGAGUCCAUAAACCUCUGAUUUUGGUCUUUUCUUUCUCAAAUUAAAUUUUCUUUGUCAACAGGGCUAUCAUCAGUCAACAAAAUAUUGUCAAAUUUUAAUUUUUGUAUUUUUAAACCUUCUCAACCAAUUUUUAACCCUUUUUUAGUGUUGCUGAAGACUGUGAAGAUGAUGGUCAACGCCGGUUCUCGUCUCUACGCUUUCAUCCGAUGGGCUGAGUUUGCGUCUCCUUUGCUCCUGGUUUGAGAUUCUGUCAACUUCAGUUCUGAGAUGAAGGGACAAAGAAGAUGGUGGGGCUGCUCCUUGUCUUUGCGUCGUUUCUCUGCUUUUAUUUUUCUCAGUUUUUUCGUUCCUCGGUUCUGCUUCCCCCCUCCUCUUCUUUCAUUCCCUGGCUUCUUAUAGAGCCAGAGAACGUGGUAAUCAGGGUGAGCCACGUUCCCACGAUAUGCAGUUACAGAUGUCCUGCUGAAACGGUCUUGAGCGACGAAGAAGGUGGAGCGUUUGAACUGGAAAUGGCAACUUUCGUUUUGGACCUUGAAUUUUAGAAAGUUUUGUAAUUAAGUCCCUAGUUAAAUUGUAAUUGGACCCCUGCAGUUUGGCAUCUUUUACAAGUUAGUCCUUGGAUUUUAAUCUGUUUGCAAUUGUGCCCCCAAUUAACCCCAAACUUUGCUAUUUUUCCAAUUAAGUCCUUGAUUUCAUUAAUUAAAUUAAAUCCAAGUCCAAUUAAGUCUUAAACUUAUCAACUCUCCAAUUAAACCCUUUGAUUUGAUAAAGUAAAUUAAUUCCAAACUCAAUUAAGUCUCAAAACUUAUUAAUUCUCCAAUUAAACCCUUGAUUUAAAUAAUUAAACUAGUCAAGAAUUUAAUUAAAUCUUUAAACUUCCAAUCAUGUUGCUCCUAACCCAAAUUUUAAUUCAUUCUUUAUUUAUUAAAAUUUUUACUUGUUUUUCAUUUUAGUAAAUAAAAUAAUUAAAAUAAAAGGUAAAAAAUUGGGUUAUGAUAAUUAUUUUUAUCAGAUUUUAUAUAUGAUGCAUCAAGUUUUUUAAUGUUAAUUGAAAAAAAAAUUAGGAUUACAUCCUAGUCGUAGAUAUGAUUAUUAUUCAUUUAAUGUUAAUAGAAACAUAUAUAUAUAUAUAUAUAUAUAUAUAUAGCAAAAGCAAAAGGUUUGAAUUGGUGGUUAAAAACAAAUAUUUUUUUAUUUUGCGGUUCCACCAGAUGCACCAAGUAAAUUAUUGUGAGGGUGCUCCCCUUCAGUAAAACUUUUUUUAAAAAUAAUUUAGUUUCGGUUGACUCACAAAAUUGAGACAUCUAGCUCAUGACUCAUGGCUUUGGCUUUAGACGUAGCUGUAACUUCGCUUACUAUGCUUAUUAUGCAAAGCAAUUAUUUUCAAGCUUCUGGAACGGGGCGUUCCUGCAUCUUCUUUUAUGGCAGAAGAGAUUAGAAAAUGACUUCUAUUGUCAAUAAUUUCUUCUUCCUUGUGAAAUGAUUUCCCGAUACAGCUCUUAAUUUCAACACCUGCUUGCUCUUCUUCUUUUCUUAGUAGACCUGGGAAGUCAAGUUUCCUAAUUAUCCACAUCAUCAAUCUCGAUCCCAUCAAAAAUGAAUUUGGUGGAAGAAAGAAAAAAAAUAAAAAAAUAUCAAUUAUUUUCAAGCUUGUGGAACGGGGUGUUCUUCCAUUUUCUUGUUUUAACUGUUUUCUUCGUAGACUUGGGAAGUCAUGUGUUAUGAACAAUUGAUUUGAUCUUGAAAAUGACUUCUUUCAAUAAUUUCUUCUUCCUUGUGAAAUAAUUUCCCGAUACAGCUCUUAAUUUCAACACCUGCUUGCUCUUCUUUUCUUAGGAGACCUGGGAAGUCAAGAUUCCAAAAUAUCCACAUCAUCAAUCUCGACCCCAUCAACAAUAGUGCCCAGCAGGAAAAAUUAGUUUCUGACGGUGAGAUGAUGCCAAAAUUGUAGUCAAAGAGACUUGGAACUCCCUGAUGAUGGUCUCUAGCUCUGGAGGUUUAUUCUGCCAAAAUUGCAUGGGCCGUUUUACAGCCUUCGUAAUGGGCUUGGCUACUUUGGGUAAUUAAAAAAACCCAAAUCGAUAAUGUUUUUUUUUUUUUCCUUUGGUAUCCGUUUAAUCAAUCUUCUGGUUUGAUCCUUGAUAGUGCUGUGUUUUGAUGCUUGUCGAUUAGCCACAAUAAUGUUAAAUUUACAAGGACAGAUCCAAGAAAAGCAAUGCAGGCCUGUAUUGGUCUCUGGGAGUCCCCUGAUAAAGGCUGCAAUCAUUGCUUGAACCCUUGUAAAGGGGCCUUUACACAUGAGGUCCACUGAAGAAGUACAACACCGUUUUUUUAUUUAAUUCUUAUGGUUUAAAUCUACUAAUAACUUAGUCAUUUUGCAUGCUAUUUUUCCACUUGUUUUGUAAAAUAGAGAAAAGAACAAAGUAAAUCUUUUUUUUUAGUUUAUGGCAUGUUCUCAAAAGUUUUAUUGAUAUUAAUUAAAUAAAAAAGACAUUGAUAUAGCUGAAAAUUGAGAACGAGAGGGAUGAUCAGGAAUGGAUUAAGCAAAAUGGGCUUGAAAAAGACCCAACAGCAGAGAAAAAUCUGAAAUAAACUCUUGAUGUUCAAAAUAGCCCACAAGCAAGGAAAAUUACCAAAAUAGGUAAAUACUGAUUAUUCAAUAAAUAAAGAAACUUCCUAGAAUAAGUGUGACAUCCUUUAAUGUUUUUACCUUUUAGAACAGUUUAUCCAGGUCGAUUCCACUUUGCUUCAACCGACCACAAUGAUCCCAUAUCCAUCUAUACAAAAAUCAAUUAAGCGGUCCAUUGACACAUUAACUUCUCUGGCUCCAUUCCGUCCUGGAUUAGCAAUCUUUCAACAUUGAGUGUUCUUCUUCUAAAAGCUACCUGAUCUUGUCAACCUAUGACAGAUCUAAAGACUUGAGAGCGGAAAGCCCAUUAAAACAUGAUAAAAUGCUUUUAUCAUUAUUAAAUCGGUUCCCACUUAGGUCAAGUACCUCCAGUUUUGAUGGUAGGACUUCGAAGCCUGGAAGAGAAACAUCAAAGCAAGAUAAUUGACAUUAAACACCGACCUUGAUUCUCAAAAUAAUAUAAAUUUAUUCUAUGAUUAUAAGAACAGAAAGAUUGAACCGACCAUGAUUCUCAAAGCAACCAACUAAUCCAUUACCGAUCAAAUCAAGACUUUGCAAUUCGUUAAAAGGCAGAAACAAAGAUGCGUUGAGAACCCAAUCCCCCAAACUCUCAUCCCUUGCACCAAUAAGAGAGAGUCGGAUCACUCGCCUUUGAGUGUUAUCACACUUGAUCCCAUACCACUCACAACAAUUACUACUGUACUCCGCCCAAUCUCUCAUGUAAAUGCUGUUUGGAUUGAUCAAAGGUUUGAUCUCCAUGAGACCAAUUCUCUCUUCCUCCAAACACCCAUAAGAACGACCACACCAUUUCGCCAUCCAAAGUCAAUAAUGUGACCAAAAUCCAAACCCACAAUAUCUUUUUCACCACCAUCUUAUAUUGUUCUAUAAACCACUACGUAGAAUUUUGUUGUUUGUUAUGUGAGUUUGGGCAACCCACAUUUGGUCCCAUUUAAAACACACUUUGGCCAUUUCCAUGAUUUUAUCUGCGUAUCCUGUGCAGGUUCCAUGAUUUUAUCGGGGAGUCAAUUUAAGUUAUUUUCCUGCCACUUUCUCAGCAGUUAUUCUCGUAGAGUCCUAUUUUGUGUUAAACGUUGGGUGCGUAUAAAGUAGUCAAAAGUAGGAUAUCCCGCUUUCUCCAUUGCUGUUCUGCAACAAUAUUUUGGUAGCCUUAUAGCACUCACUACUGGAGAAAUUGAGCUAAAGCAUAAAAUGUCAUGUACGCGGAUGCUUGACUUGCGGUGUGCCAUCUUGACUCUUAAACACCACCGAGCAGUAAUUUCAUGGUGAUUUCCUUAUUAAUACUGGUGGUCUUCCAGAAUCUUUAUCCAAACAACCCUUGCUAGACCGGGAUCGGGGUUGAUCAGGGAUAAGACUCGUGUCAUGACUUUUGAUGAGAUCACUAGGGCUCUGUUUGUUUGCAGGAAAGUGAAUUCCUUUUGGAAAGUGAAUUCCGGGGAAAGUGAAUUCCUGGAAAGUGAAUUCCGGGAAAGUAUUUUCCGAUGUUUGGUAGUGUUAUGGAAAAUGAACUGGAAAACACUUUCCAGUGUUUGGUUGUAUUAUGGAAAAUGAACUGGAAAAUAAUUUAUUAAUGAAUUAAUUUUUUUUUUAAAUUUAUCUAAUAUAUAUAUAAAAUAUCUAAUAUAAAAUAUUUAAUCACUUACAAUAAAAAAAAAUGAAAUCUAAAAUGUAUAAUGAUGAAUUUUUUUUAUUAUAUUCUAUAUUCAUACAUAGCUUAUUUUAUAAAAUAUAACUAUAUAUAUCAUAUCAUAUUAUAGAGAAAUAAGCUUGUGAAAUGUUUUUUACUAUUCCAUGAAACUAUUUAUAAUUCCAUUACGUACGAAAUAUAUCUGACAAAAAUUAUAGUUUUAAUAAUAUUUUUAGCAUGUAACAAAAUUGGAUAAAAUAUUAAGGUUUAAAAUUUACUCUAAACUAUUUUUUUUUAAUGUUAAAAAAAAUAGCACACUUAAAAAAAAAAAAAAAAGAAUCCUACAGGCAAGUGAACAGUGCAAGAGAACUGCACUGUUCACUAUUUUUCCAGUAAACAGUGUACGCAAUACACUGUUCAUGUUAAUUGCACUAUUCAUUGAACAGUGCAAUUAACAUGAACAGUUAAGAAAAAAUGGCUGCUUUUCACCGCUGGCCACUGUCGGAAAGUGUUUUCCUUUCUUUAACAAAAGAAAACACUUUCCUUUGGCAACACUGAUUUAUUUUCCAUUGACUGAAUUCAUUUUCCAUUGACUUUUUUUCUUGUUGUUGCCAAACACUGGAAAAGCAGGAAAGUGAAUUCCAGGAAUUCACUUUCCUGCAAUCAAACACGGCCUAGAUUAACUUUCAUUUUUUGCUAAUUUGGUUGAAGAAAGAAAUAUUUAGCCUGAUUUACUUCCAUAUUCAUUUUCUUUUUAAUACAUACAUGCUUGUAACAAGACAGGAUAAAAGCCAUGUAAACAAGGUAAUUAAAAAAUGUCUUCCGGCAAGUUUGUUUGUUUUUCCCCUUUAUUAUGAUAUAUAUACACGAAAGAAGAAAAUGCAUUGAUUAAAAUGCAUAGACCACCGUGUGGGCCAAUAAAAUGAAAACAAAAGACAAUAUCAAUGGUUUGCAAAAAAAGAAAAAAGAAAGUUUUCUGUUAAAUUUAUCUUUAUGUUAAUUACUUGAUUAACUAAACUUAAUCAUGUAAUAUUGAAUUAUUUGAUGAAAAACUUAUUUAAAACAGUAUUAAUUGACAUAUUUUAAAGUAAAAUAAAAAACAAACCCCGCUUACUUGCUUAUUUUUAAUGUGAAAAAUUAUUUUUUAACAUAAAUUCUUUAACAUAUUAACAUAAAAAAGUUCAAUAUAAUUAAAAUAAAUUGUGAUUAACAUGCUUUCUGAACCAAGCUUUUAUAUCUAAGAGACUAAUUCUCUCUUCCUCCAAACCACAAUGGCAAAUUGUGCCAUGAGCAGCCCUUUUGUCUUCUGGGCUGGAACAUCAGCCCAGCCCACGCGGAUGGGCUGAGUCCAGCCUUGUAGCUGGACCAAUACAGGCCCAGCCCACAUGAUUGGGUCGGGUCUGGCCCAGUUCAAUUUAAUGUUGGAACAUCAGCCCAGCCCAUGUGGGUGGGCUGAGUCCAGCCUUGUAGCUGGGUUAAUACAGGCCCAGCCCCCACAAUCAGCCCAGUUCAUUUCUUUUUUAAAAAAAAAAAAAAAAUUAUUUUCAAAGAAAUUGCAAUUUCCCCGUGUAUUUAUUUUACGUCAUUUUGAUUAAUAUUGGUCUGUAUUUUUAUAUCAUAAAGAUAUAAAUUCGGUAUUAAAAUAACCGGUUUUCAAAAAAAAAUAUUUUUGUUUUCAUACAUACGGCCUAGUUUCUCAAGGCUAAAAAUAAAUAAAAUCAUAUUGUAUCUUCAUACAACAAAGAAAACUUCAAUAUAUAUAUAUAUAUAUAUAUAUAUAUAUAUAUAUAUAUAUAUAUAUAUGUGAACAUGUGUUUUGGCUUUAAUAACCAGUUUAUUAAAGUUACGAGAACUCGGCCAAUAUUUCAAAAAAAUCAAAAAAUAUAUUUUGUUUUGUUUUAUUGUCUGGGAUUAUGAAUUUAUAUAUAAAACGUAUUCCUAAUAUUAAAAUGGUAGUUCUUUUAUAGACAUUAGAACAGUUAUGUUUUACCCCCAUAAGAUAAAAACCUCUUUACUGAGAAUGACUUUUCUUGAACCAUAGACGGACCAACAUGAUAAGACCUUAUAUUUUUUAUCAGACAGUGAAACAAUGCAACUUACCUCAGAUAGAGCGUAUUUGGGGUGUUAAUACCUUCUCUUUACGCAACCAGUCUCCGUAUCCAAUCUUUGAGACCAGUUAGGGUUUCUAGUGACUAGAAUACUAGGUGGCGACUCUCCUUCUAUUUUUUCACUGCUAAGACACAAAAAAUUCCUUGUCUCCCCAUUUUUGCUGGAAUAGAUACAAUUGCACCUAAUGAGGAGAAGUGGUGGGCGAUCAUCGCGACGCCGUACACAUGCAACACAUGUAAAACGGUUUCUAUAUAUAUAAAAGGAAGAAAGAAGAAAAUGCAUUAAAUAAAACAUGGAUAUCUUUGAAUGAAGAAAUUUAGGACACCGCUGACGUAUAUAGACAAAGUAUGCCAAGAACGAGGGGGGGCAAAAACAUUAUCAAUGGCUUGAAAGAACAAGACAAAAUAAAAUCAUUAGUUUUGAGCUUCAGAAGACAAUUUUAGCCAUUUAAUUUUGUCUUCAACUCGUUACAAAAAGCCUUGUCAUUUGAGAUUUCAUGCUUGUAAUGUUUCUGUUUUCAAUUAGUAUUACGCUUCCAUCUGUCAGAAUACUGUUGAACUUGACAAGAACUUUGAGCAAAUUCCAAUUUGAUUUUUGUAGCGAAUUAUAUCACUUAAUUGUUUGCUUAGGCUUAUUUUUAAUGUUCAAUGAAGUUUCACCAAUCAGUCAUCAAAUUCUGUAAAUGUUGCAGAUGAUUGCUAGGAAUAAAUCACAGUCAUUAAAUUUCUUCAUUUUGGUCCUUAAAUUUGUUUGCUAUGCUGUAGUUCUUUAUUUUUCGUGGAUAAAUUAUUUGGUACAGAGUUCUAAUUAAUAGCCAAAAAAGAAAAUAGCUCUGAAGAUAUCAGAACAACUGAAAAGAGAAGCAAAUAAUUGAUAAGGUGGGAGAAAAGAAUAGCAAAAUGCAUAGGCAAAUUUCUACAGUAUCAACUGACAAUGUGGAAGAAGAGAAUAUCAACCUGAUAGAUCAUAUAUGCGAGGCUUAUGUGGUUUACGAACACCUGAUUUGCAGAAGCUGGGGAUAAUGUUGAAACUCAAAUACACUCCUAUACAAUGAAAGGUUUUCUUGAAAACUAUCAUAAUUAAAGCAUAAAUUCAAUGAAAACUAAAUUUGCUGGAGGGGUUUCACAGAUUUUGACCAGAUUGAAUUUCACGAGGCGUCUAGCGUGAAUGAAUUAGGGUUUUCUUCUAGCCUUGAAAUUAUAGAGGAAUAGAGAAAAACAAAAACUCAUAUUUUUCUGAAAAGUCUAUAAUUCAAUAAUCUAAUCUUAAAACAAUACUUCAAUUGUUGAAAUAAAAGUUUUAAACCGAUCUAAUUAAAAGAAUUUAAGAUUAAGUGUGAAAAAUAUAAAAAAUACAAAAUUAUUUAGGAAAAUAAUUAAAAUAGCAAAAAUAGAAUCUUUUGACCUAACUUUGAAAAGAUCCUGUGGUGAUGGAGUCUAUAAAAUUAUCUAAUAAAAUUUAAGUAUAAUAUAAUAAUUAAAAUUAUAAUUAUAAUUAAAGCAUAAAAUGUCGUGUACGCCGAUGCUUGACUUGCGGUUUUCCAUUUUGAUUUUUAAAUACCAGAAAACGGUAAUUUCCUUAUAGAAACUGGUGGUCUCCUCGCGACCUUUUUUCUCAAAUAACUGUUGUUAGAGCAUGAUUGAAGUUAGGAUUUAACCCGUGUCAGAAACUUAAUGACUCUCCUCACUAACAGUAAUUUAUUAAAUAUUUUUAAUAUACUUAGUUCAUGUGAGGUUGUGUUUUCAAAAUCUUCCGAGAAAAAAGGACUAAAUGAUGACACACACGACAUUAAUGCAAAAAUAAAAGAUAGCACUACUGGCCAAAUUAAAUUUCACGAGAUGUAUAAAUUCAAACUAGGAUUUUCCAGCCUUUAAUACUCUAUGGAGAAAAAAACUCUAAUAUUUUUAUAAAAAGCUUAUAAUUUAAUAAUCCAAUCUUAAAACAAUAUUUCAAUUGUUGAUAUAAAAAAUUAAAACUGAUCUAAGAAAACUAAGUGGAAAAAAUAAUAAAAUAUAUUAUUUUCAGAAUAUAUUAACAAUUUAUUUCUUGAACAUGAAUACCAAGAAUAGACAGAGAGACACAGAGGAAUCAUUCACAUUUGCACUUGAAAGAAGCCAACUGUAUGCAAAGAGGGCCAAGAAGAACAAAUGAAUUAGUUUGCUGAAACAGACAAUACAAACAAAAGGAGAAGAAUGAGAAAUCAGAUGGGCAGUGUGAUGGUAUUUUCAGAACUAUGGUUGUGCCUUUUGGAAGAGAAUGUGCUUCUUCUCUGACCAUUGUGUACAAUUAUGGUCGUUGUUUCAUCAAAAUCAGAGGGCUGAUUCUGCCUUCUCCUUUACAGCUUCCAAAAGAAAAGGUGAGAAUGGGCUAUUCUUGCUUUUGAUAUUUGAAAUCAUAACAUGCUCCACUGAUUGACUUUUGGUGUAACAUUUUGAUCCUUAAACUUCACUUGGCCGUAAUUUCCUGAUGAUUUCUUUAUGGGAAACAGGUUGUCUUCUCGCAAUCCUUUUCCAAACAACCCCUGUUAGAGCAUCAUUAAAGUUUUGAUUUGUACCAUCAUCAAAAAAUGACUGUCAUCAUCAUCACAACGUACUUCCAUUUCAAUUAAUUCUUUAUAUUAUAACGCAGCAGAACAUAAAAUAAUGGGUGAAGAUAUUUUAGCUGAUAAUGGGUGAAGGGAUAUUUUUUUUCUAAUUGAAAACGACUUGUCAGCUUUAGAAAAUGCAUGCAGGGCCCAGUUUAAUUUCAAUUUCUCAUACUCUCGUUAAUGCAAGUUUGGACAGCUUGGGGAUGUGUCGUCCAUCCGGUUUCCUUUUUUGAUCGGGAGUCAAUGGGAUUAGUAAUUGACACUUCAUCAUCAAAUCAAAAUUAAAAAUGUUAAUGAACUCACAAUUAAUUGCCAUUAAGCUCCAUUGAGUGUAAACAAUGAAUUUAUAAAAUAGUCAAAAGUGGGAUGUCGUGAUUUCAACAAUGCCGUUUCAGAAAAUUGAUAGUCAUGAUGAAAAGAAGAAGACAGAAUUGUUGAGUUGAAACGUGAACGUCGUGUUCUCCUGAUCAAUUGUAUAGUGAAGAUGGUGGAACUGAUGCGGGUGCAUAGCACCAACCAUUACUUCCCUAAUGAUUUCCUUGCGGAAGAAAUUAUUACAUUUUUAAAGUUAAAAGUGCUAAAGCACAAUUCAAAGAAAAUAAGCAGUACUAAACUUAACAAGCUAGUUCAAUGGAGGAGAAUGGUGUGCUGAAACACUAUGAUUUUCAAAAAAAUUGAAGCAUAUCAGAUCCAUGCUGCUGCAUUCGCAAGAAACGAGCACCCAUCAACAAUGUGCUAAAUGUCAAUGCAGAGCUUUAAAUCAUCUACAGAGGCUCAUGAAGAAAAUAGGCAUAAAUGAUAACAGAUAACACACCAGAGCACUCUACGUAAACUGAUAUCUUUAGAAAAUUCAAAGGCAUGAAUGAAAAAGAAAAGCUAGAAAUAUCUAAGUCAGCUCUUAAUUUGUAACAGUCCACAACUUCAUGUUUGGUGUGUACUGUAAACUAUGCUCUCCACAUAAUCAUGAGCUUCAUCUGCAAAAAACCAUUUUCACUUCUUGGGACAAGGGAUCAAAAAAAUACAAACCUGUUGUUGGAUUACAUUCAUAAUUUAUAUCAAGCACUAGAUGCUGCUCGAAGGAAGUCCUUCAAGGAAAAAAAUCAGGAACAAAAAUGCUGAGAGGUCCAUCUUGGAGGUCAGAAAGCUGGAGUUCUACUAGAAGAAGAUACCUCUGGAGAGAGAAAUAAAGGAAGCCUGAACUGCUUAGAGUUUUCUUACCGAAGCUUCAAGUUAAGAUCAUUUUCAUUUCAAUUUGGAUGUAGAAAUAAUGAUGGGAUGUGAAAAUUAUAUUUUCAUUUCAGAGAGCUGGUUGAUUAUAUUUUGAAAAAGGGUAUAUAUGAAAGUUAAAUCCUCUGUUCAAAUGAACAAAGGGAUCAACUUGAGCAAGAGUCAACAAGCUAUCCUUCGAGGUCAAUGGAACAUACCACUCAUAUUAAUCUUCUACUAUUUAGGGGAAUUCAUACAUCCACUCAUCUUAAGCUGGAAAACUUAUGGAAAGCAUUCGCAAUUGUUUCCAAUGUAUCGACUGUAAUCAAUCAAUAGAUCAUCAACUAUUGUCCUCAUUGAAAGUUUCCUGCUCCCUAUAUAGAGAAUGUCUGAUUAAUUUCAUUAAAUAUGCAUGAUUCCACUGUAUGUUAGCUAACCAAAAGAGCCUACAGGCCAAAUAAACAACAGGAAUAAGAGAAACUACUUCCAACGCCAUCAUUUCUCCUUUCUAGUAUCAUCUUUUGUUUAAUGUUUAAUGCUCGUAGCCUCUGAGCACUCCAAACUAAUUUUUAAAAUAAAAUAUCAAGAGAUGGCAGAAAAUGAAUGUGCUCAUCAACUAUUUUCCUCAUUGAAAGUAUACUGUGGUAUUUUAAAUUGCUCCAGUUUUUAAAAAAUAGAAGGCCACAGGCCAAAGAAACAACAGGGAUAAGAGAAACCGUUUUUUAUUUGAGAAAAUACGAUACUGCAAACUAUUUCUUAUGAAUAAAUCCCGUAUUACAAGAAGCCAAGAAUUGGUUGGUUGCUCAGCACAACAUAACUCAACAUAACUGAUACAAACAAUUACUGAUACAAGCACAAGGACAAACACAAGUCACAUCAAAAUAGAAAGGCUAAGCAACAAGAACACUUCUCACAGGCAAAUUGCUAAACAUGCAGUGAGCAACCAUUGAUUUGGAAUGCGACUGCUUCUCCACAGAGGAUUGCAACAAAUUCAGAAAGCAGCCCACACGCUCCUGAUAAGAUCCAAUCACCUUCUGAAUCUGGACAACUUGGGAAAGUUAAUUGCCAAAAAGCAGCAGCAAGUGUCAAUGCAUUCUUCAAUGAAGUAAAACCACCUGCGACGCCAAUGCGGAUUUAUGCACAGUACUGCUGCAAUUGUCAACACCACAGUUAUGUAAAACACACCAAAGCUGGCAUAGAAACUGUCCAUGUCUAUGAAGCCACCAUCUCCAUUGAAAUCAUUAGGCACUCUCGCGGAUGGUGAUUCUGUUUUGUCGCAACUAUUUUGCAAUGGAGGUCCACAAAGAAGAGGAUUCCCUUUAUAACUGCUUUCAUCAAAGGUACCAAAUUGAUUUUUCAUCUCCGGUGUUCUUCCUGACAAAUUAUUGUACGACACGUUAAAAACUGCUAGAAAGGUCAGUUCAACGAGUUGUGCAGGAAUUCUCCCAUUCAAAUUGUUGUGAGAAAGAUCCAAGCUCUCUAGCUGCUUCAGAUUGAAGAAGGAUGAAGGGAUCAAUCCAGUGAGAUUAUUUUGUGACAGAUUUAGAGAAUGUAUCCCACUUAAGUUUCCCCAUUCUAUCGGGAUUUCUCCAGUGAAUCUGUUACAAGAAAGAUCCAAAGCAGACAUGUAACGAAGGAUUUCGCCUUCAUAAGUGUAGAAGUUUUUCUUUGUUGUAAGCUCUACAGUUAUUUUUACACUGAUCUCUGGCCACAAAAUUUUAUCAUGAAGAUAACCUUCGUUCUCCAAUUCUCUCCCCCAUGUGGAUGCAAAUAUUUCUUCAUCUAGUGAGUACUUCACACUAGUGUCAAGCACAGUUAUUUCUUCAUCUUGUGACUCCAUACUAGUGUCAACCAAAGUUUCUUCAUCUAAUGCCAUAAAAUUUAAAUUGCUCAAACAUGAGGGUAACGGACCAGAAAAGUUAUUUUCUGAAAGAUCCAAUAUGUUUAAUUUCCUUAACAAGCAUAACUGAUGAGGUAGUUUCCCAUUGAAUUGAUUAGAUUUGAGAACAAAAAUGCUCAAUUCCGAAAGGCUAUAAAUCCAAUUUGGAAUGGGCCCAGUUAAGUUGUUAUCGCCGAGAUCUAAUGUCACCAACGAAGAGAGAUUACAAAAAGCAUAUGGCAGUGGACCGCUCAAUUGAUUUCUAUAAAGGUGGACAUAGUGUAAAUCUGAUGCAAGGAAGCCCAACGACAAAGACAAAGACCCAGACAGAUUGUUUUCAGAAAGAUCUAAAAAUUCAAGCCCAGAAGAAUUGAAAUAUUCUAUUGGAAUGGUACCUUCAAAAUGAUUUCUGGACAAAUCAAUUCCAUCAAGUUCGUUUAGUGAAGAGUUCCCAAUUCCCCUUGGAAGCAUGCCUGACAAAAGAUUGUUACUGAUAACAAACCACGAAAAUGAUGAUGCAAGAGAAAAGGUAUCAGAUACUUGUCCUGCAAAUUUGUUUCCAUCUAGAAAGAGGUAAAGUAGAUCAGUCAUGUUGAACACAGAUGGUGGUAAUCGCCCAUUGAAGUUGUUGUUGGACAACUUCAAAAACCACAACGAGGAGCCUACUGUUGGCAAAUUAUGCUCAAGCAGUUCACAAGACAUAUGAUUGUUGGAAAGAUCCAAGUAUCCGAGAGAGCUCAUAUUCCCAAAACAAGGAGGAAUGCAACCUGUGAGGCUAUUGUUAGCCAUCAAGAAGUUCUUUAACCGUGGAAAAAUUGAACAUAUGUUCCUUGCAAUUUGACCAUGUAUGGUGUUGCCAGACAUAUCUAUUGUAUGAAGAUUGGGUGUUGGAUGUUGUGGCAGCUGCAAAGGACCUAUAAAUGAGGUGUCUCUCAAAUAUAGUCGAUUUAACUUUGUAUUAUUCUCAAACAGCCAAGACGGGAAAGGUUCUCCAAUGAAUUUGUUGUGGGAUAGAUCAACAAACACCAAAUCAUGUUGGCUAUGCAGGAAGUUUGGAAAUCUAGCUUUGAGUGGUUUUGAAGUACAGUUUGCAGCACUGAAGUAAAGAAGCUGUAACUUGGGAGCUGAAGGCUGAAAACUGGGUGCAGCUAUUAGCUCAUUGUUAUCGCAUACAAUGAACUUGAGGUUGGAGAGGUUCAUAAAUGAACCAAAUGAUAUUGGAACUUGAAAGUAGUUAUUUGAAA